rnacentral:lncRNA from 1 species
UCCCAAGUACUAGUAUUAAUUUUGGACACAUACCCUGUGUCACAUCCUAUAACAUAUAUAAACAGCAUGAGUUCUAAGUUGUUCGGGCUCCAACUUCUAGGAAUUUGCCUGUGUCUGCCUACGUUCAUUGUUUUCCUCCAUCCGCCUAAGGUUGUGCUUGCAAGGUCUGGUCUUUCGGGGGAUCUGCUAUCUUGUUUCUAGGCCUGGAAAAUGCCUGGAUCAAACAUGGAGGAUCAGGUUCCCUGUUUUUCAACUUAACCAAUAGCUGGAUCAAACACCGCAUAGCUAAAGGCACUACUGCUGUAAUCAGGGCGAGUUGAAACGUUUCUUCAUUCGGGGUAACAGCAAAGAUCGCAGAUCCAUAAGUUAUAAUCAUUGAAACACCAGCAACCGUUACUUCAAACUUGAACGGAAAAUUAUGCGUGAGAGACAUAAUAACAAGUACCGCUGCAGAAAAGGCUAGGGUGUUGGAAGUCAAGAAAACGUAGUAGACAGAUGAUUCAGAUUCACAGAUAGCAGUGCCUGCUAUAUGGCCCUCAUUGGUUUCCUGCCAUACACCGCCAGGGGGGUUAACCCCAUCUUGGAAGGUCACGGUAGCUAUUAGGGUGGCUACUACCAAGAGAGCGUUACGGGCGUCAGCUCUAUUCUUCUCCUUAUCCUCCUCUUUUGCACCUUUCUUGUACUGAAAAUAACGGCACUAGUCCUGGCCAUUUUUUUUCAAGAAAAAUGUGAGAAAAUGAUUUUGUGAUAAGGUGAUUUCAAAUAUAACCGACCAUAUAAAGUUAUCUGUUUCUACCCAAAAAUAAACAUGAGUAGACCAAAAUGCCCUUAAAAACAUCAUUUCAAAGAAAUGCUCAGCUGUUUGAGCUAUCUGCCUCUCGCCAGAGAAAAAAUGAAAAACAUUAAAAAUAAAUGCGCGCAGCUAUUUAGGCUCGAUCAUCUUUCUCUGUCUCAACUCUGGUAAGUCUUUGUUGAGCACCAUCGUUGUCAGCUCUCUCAGAUCUCUGAACUGUAUGAGCUCUGUCAACUCUCUGUUGAGCACUAUUGUCAUUGGGCUGUGGUCUAUCUCUCGACAUUUGGCCACAUUGUCAUAGAUUAACACACCCUAUAGCAGAGAUGACAUCAAGGUACCUGUUAUUGGGUUUAUUUCUGCAACACACUUAAAUUUCUGAAACAUUUGGUGUAAAUAAUAAGAUGGAUAAGAAACAUUGCCCAGAGUUGUUACACGCCAUGCAUCUAUAACAUGAGUGAAGAGUUAUUUUAGCGUGUCACGGCUGUUACUGGAGUGUUGUCGGCUAACUAGUUAUUUGGGUUGUUAGCGUGUCACGGCUAUUCUUGGGGUGUGGUGAGUGAACUAAAUGUAUGGGUUUUUGGCGUGUCAUGGCUGUUCUUGGAGUGUCGUGGGUUAAUUGGUUUUUGGGAUUUUUAACGUGUCACGGAUGUUGGUGUAACCAGUCAGUAAUUACAGUGAUUGGCGUGUCACGAUAAUGAUGCAUGGUGUGUCACGACAGUGAUGCAUGGCGUGUAAUGAUACUGAUGCAUGACGCGUCACGAUAUUUGACUUGAUAUGCAUGACGUGUUACAACAUUUUACGUUAUAUGCAUGGCGUGUAACAACACGACUAACAAAUUUUUGAUCACGGCAUGUAUUGUGUAAAAUGAUUGACGAUAUUUUUUUUUCAAAAUUUCAGUGGAGUUCCAAUUGUGCGACUUGUGAUAAGACACGGUAGUUAGUAGGUGGAUGGCAUUUACAAGGGUGGUGAGUCACGAAUGAGGCGGGUUAGGAGUGAUUUGUCGUUUGUAGGCUUGAUGAAGCUGGUUGAAGAUGUUGUUAGGGUCAACUCAGAAAUUGACGAGAUUGAGUUACAUGCAUUGAUCAGUACACCCGAAGAGCUAUUACGGCCAAUUAUCAAGGACGAUGAGGAUGUUGCAUUAAUUUUGCUAGAACAGAGGAAUGUUCCGGCUGUGUAUGUCAGCAUUAGGGGACGCCAAAUAAAUGUUAUGUCACAUGGAGAAGUUGGACAACAUGGUAAUCAACUCAAUCAAAAUGAGAUUUACAAUGCUUCACAUAUACCACAACAUUCGGUCUGUAACCCACAACAAUGGCAAUUGAGGUAUGCACAAGAGUUUGUGCAACCCGGUAGACAGACGACAUUCACAGACAGUUGGCUACACAAUUUCGAUCAGGAUGUGCAUCAAACCAAUUUCUUGCUUCUCUUGAACAAAUGCAACGAUCGGGUGAAAUUGUAGAGUGUGUAAUGCCAUUGUCAAAUGAGAAUAUGACAGUUGAGGACAACAAUGUGAGGUUGGAGGGUGACACUGCGACGCUGGAGUAUAAUACUACAUUUGAUGAGGGAAAUGAGGAUUUGUUCGCUGCCGGUGAAGAUAGAUUUGAUCACACUUCAAAUGAUGGGCUUGAACAAUCACAAGAUGACAGUUCAGACGAUGAUUGCCUUUAUGACAGUGACAUUCCAAUUUGCAAUAAUGUUGAAGGUGAAACAGAACCUGUUGGAGGUGUUGAUGUAUGAGAUGUUCAGUGUGAUGACCCCAUAUACAAUAACCCCAUCGCUGGUGAGAACGGGAUUCGUUCCCUUGAUAUAUUGCUCGAUGACAGUGAUCAUGAAAGGAAAAAUGCAGGGAUAUCUCGUACGUGGGUAAUUGCAAGUGCAGAAAGGUUAUUCUUCCAAAUAAUUACCACUGAAGAGUCGACAUGUGCCGAAGAUCCCUUAUACAAAGGAAGAAUGUUUUCAUCGAAGGUCGAGUUGAAACGAGCUUUAAACAUGUUGGUUAUAAAAGAGAAGUUUGCGAUAAGAGUAAAAAGGUCAUGUAAAGCUCGUUAUGAGGUUAGUUGCAAGGACAAGGCAUGCAAGUUCAGUGUUUGUGCAACGAAGUUACCUGAUAGAGGAGAAUAUUGGAAAGUUCGGACAUUCCAUAAAAUACACACUUGUAUCGUUGAUGAUUUGCAAGGGCAGUUUCCAACUACGAGUGCGAAGAUGAUUGGUAAACUUAUGUCACACAAGAUUCGGGCUAAUGGAGUAGCAUUGAGACCUAAGGACAUAAUUUGUGAGAUGAAGGUUUAGUGGGGAUUGGAAUGCUUGUAUAGUAAGACUUGGCCAGCGGAGGAGUAUGCGAAGAGGCUUCUUUUCGGUCCAUCGGAGGAGUCAUUUCAACUACUACCAUCGUAUUUUUAUAUGUUGGAACAAGAAAAUCCUAGCAUAAUGACUGCAGUGGCUAAUGAUGAGGAAGAGAGAUUCAAAUAUUGUUUCUGGUCAUACGGGGCUUGUAUUCGGGGGUUUAGGGAUGUAAUGCGUCUUACGGUUGCAAUUGAUGCGACACAUCUAAAAGCCAGGUUUAAGGGUGUUCUGUUUGUCGUUGUAUGCAAAGAUGCGAACGAGUGCGUAUAUCCAGUUGCGUUUGGCAUCGGCCAUGUUGAGGAUGAAAACUCGUGGAUGUGGUUUCUUAGCAAGCUACGUGAUGCGGUUGGUUGUCCUGAAAACACUAUGUUUAUUUCUAACCAGCAUCUCGGCAUUAAGAAAGUAAUCCAAAAUGCAUACCCAGAAGUGCACCAUGGUUUAUGCGGUUACCACUUGUAAAAAAACUUUAAAAACAAGUUCAAGCGCGACGAUGUUUAUAUGCUUUUCACCCUUGCUCGAGAUUGCUAUAAGGUGGCCGAUUUCAACAGACAUAUGAACCAGAUAUAGCAGAUUUAUUUGGGAGCCCACGCGAACUUUAUGAGAAUAGAGCCUGAGAAAUGGGCAUGUGCAUGUUCACCUGCAAAGCGAUACCAAAUGAUGACAUCCAACAUUACGAAAUGUGUUAACUCAUGCUUAAAGCAUGCAAGGCAAAUGCCGAUCACUGUUUUGAUCGAGUUCAUCAGAGACAUGUUUCAGAAUUGGUUCCAUGAACGGUACGAGAAAGCCGUCAAGGUGACCACGCCUCUCAGCCCUUGGGUUGCCAGGCAGUUGAGUAAAAGGUUCAAUGAUGCACAUCGCUUUCUAGUUAAUCCUAUCAAUCGAGCGGAGUUCGAAGUUAAAGAUGGGAAGAUGGACGGACUUGUAAACCUGUCCAGGAAGAUGUGUUCAUGUUGUGAGUUCCAAACAGAUUUACUACCAUGCAGCCAUGCCAUUGUAGCAAUAACAGAAUAUCUUUAUUUUUUAUUUGAACUGUAAUUGACAUAACAUUUACAUUAUGCUUGAAGAUUGAGUUUUUAGUGUUUUUCAGUAAAUGCAAUCGUGAAGUCAUUGAAUUCUGCGCUGACUGCUACAAGAUAACCGUUUUUGUGGAAGGUUAUUCAGGAUCCAUUAGGUUGGUAGGGCAUCCUAGUGAGUGGGACAUCGCCCCUCAUGUGAAACAAAUUAUCGUCUUGCCCCCACCUUGGCGAGGCCAAGUAGGAAGACUUAGGAAGAGAAAGAUUCCAUCAGCUGGUGAAGGUAGUCGAACACAGAGAUGUUCACAAUGCAAGAGGUACAAGCAUAACAGACAGAACUACUCAUCCCCAUUUGCAGUUCCAUCCAUAAAUCUGGCACCAUCUCCAAGUCAAUCGACGACUCCACGACUGCGCCGACCCAAAGCAUGUUCAAGUUGCAGACAAACCGGUCACAUAUGCAACAACUGUCCAAUACAAAAGACAAUGUCCAAAAAUGUGCCUGAUUUUGAUAUGCAUGUCAUGUCACAGAAUUUUACUUGUUAUGCAUGGCCUGUGAUAGCAUUUUACUUGAUAUGCAUGGUGUGUGACAGCAUUUUACUUGAUAUGCAUGGUGUGUUAUAACGUUUAACUUGUUAUACAUAGCGUGUUAGCACAAUUUACUUGUUAUGCAUGACGUGUCAUUUCAUUUUUCUUGUUAUGCAUGACGUGUCACAAUAUUUUAUUUGAUAUGCACGGCGUGUCACAACAUUUUACUUGUUAUGCAUGGCGUGUCUCACAUUUAUUCCUUAUUUAUUUCUUCUGUAUACCUUGUUGCACAUUAUGGCUUAACUCAUUGGUGCAUCUGUGCCAUGUUUUGCAGAUCCAACACAUACAGUAUGAGGAUCUUAACAUUUUGUCUGCUCGAUCAUUCUAUGAGGCACUUUUAGUUACGGACUUUGUUGCCAAACAUUUCAAGCAGAUAAGCUUGUCAAGGCCUCUGUCUGAUCAAGAUCGCGUUAAAGUACAUUCUUACAUUGUUUGUAAAAAUGUUUCCGAUUACAAUCUCCAUCAGACAGGAGCCACAUAUUUGUUUAUCUGCCUGAAAUGUUUGGCAACAAAGUCUGUAACUAAAAGUGCCUCAUAAAAUGACCGAGUAGAUAAAAUGUCAAGAUCCUCAUACUGUAUGCAUUGGAUCUGCAAAACAUGGCACAGAUGCACCAAUGAGUUAAGCCAUAAUGUGCAACAAGGUAUACAGAAGAAAUAAAUAAGGAAUAAAUGUGAGACAUGCCAUGCAUAACAAGUAAAAUGUUGUGACACGCCGUGCAUAUCAAAUAAAAUAUUAUGACACGCCAUGCAUAACAAGAAAAAUGAAAUGACACGUCAUGCAUAACAAGUAAAUUGUGCUGACACGCUAUGUAUAACAAGUUAAACGUUGUCACGCACCAUGCAUAUCAAGUAAAAUGCUGUCACACACCAUGCAUAUAAAGUAAAAUGCUGUCAAAGGCUAUGCAUAACAAGUAAAAUUCUGUGACAUGACAUGCAUAUCAAGUAAAAUGUUAUCACAAGCCAUGUAUAACAAGUAAAAUUCUGUGACAUGACAUGCAUAUCAAGUAAAAUGCAGUCACACGUCAUGCAUAUCAAGUAAAAUGCUAUCACACGCUAUGCAUAUCAAGUAAAAUGCUGUCACACGCUAAUAACUAACUAUAAUAACAAUAGCGUCACACGUUAAACACCCAAAACCCCUAAAACCACUACGACUUAACCACAACAACCAUCAAACCAGCAAGAAAACAUAGUCUAAACAUUUGCAAAACAAAACAAAAAACCCGAACAUAUCAAAUAAACCCAGGAAAAAAUCAAAAAAUUAACGAACACAAGAAUGUUACGAAUUUGAGACUCACUGACCUCUUCAUUCAUGGCCGACAUUUUUGCUGCUAUUGUGGUUUCGUUCCUCUUGCAAAGAGCCUUCUCGAACACUCUGGUACCGACGGGAAUGAGAAAUGAAUCACACAGAUGUUACAAAUUUUGUGUAAUAACUGUUUAAAAUGAAAAAUGACCUUAUAAUAUUCUUAUUUAUUCUGAAAAAGGGGAAUUAAUUCAGUGAAAGUCCAAAGGAUUACCACAUUUACUGCCCGUUUUUUUUCCUCUCUCUAUUUCAAACCAUGACUUGUCAAUUGCUCAAGCACUGCUGUGUCACACACUCUAAACCAUGACCAUGGUGUGUUAGCUUUUCAGGCAAUGUCGUGUCACACACUCUAAACAUGACCAUGGCGUGUCACCAACUCUGAACUCUGGCUUGUCACAGAUUCCAUCCAUGGUGUGUCACUAACUCUUAACUCUAGAGUCUCACAGAUUCAAUCCAUGGCGUCUCACCAACUCUGAAAGCUGGCAUGUCACAGAUUCCUUCAAUGCCGUGUCACCAACUCUUAAUUUGGAGUGUCACAGAUUCCCUCCAUGGCAUCUCACCAACUCUAAACGCUGCCAUGUCACACAUUCUCACCAUGGCAUGUCACCAACUCUAAACUCUGGCGUAUCACAGAUUCCCUCUAUGGCGUCUCACCAACUCUGAGCGGUGCAGUGUCACAUAUUCCCAACAUGACGUUUCACAAACUCUAAACCCUGCCCUGCGACAACCAUCUAACAUAUGGCCUGCUAUAGCAGGACCAUUUCCUACUUUGGAUUCACAUCUUUCUCUUUUUAAUUCACCACCGUAUCAAGGAUUUCUAGUUUCAUAUCAUUAGCCAAGCUUUCCAUUCAUGACAACCGGUUCCUCGUUCGAUUUAAUAUCUCUCUUCUCCUAUUAUCUGAAUGUCAUGUCUCAAAUCUCUGAAAACCCAUCUCAUGCAACAUUAUUUUGUUUUGCACAACCUUCGAAAAAAUUUUUGGGUAUUUUGCACAACCAAUCUUUGCAUAUUUUUUUUCUCCCAUUUUUCGCCUGUUUGAGAGUGUACGCUAACGAAGAAGACUCAUUAAGGGCAUUUUUGUCCCAAAAUCUUUUUUGGUGGUUAAAAACUGUUAAAAGUAGCCCGACGGUUAUUUACAAAAACACGUUAUUUAUAAGGGCUAAAAAACAAAUUCCCUUUUUUUUCUCUUUGGUUUUGAACUACAAACAGAAUUCAAUAAUUGAUGAAGCUUUUUGUUUAUUGAGAUAUGAAGAAAAUCAAAGGAAGAAAAACGAAGUAGAAGAUGGAUUUCUCCAGAAAAGCUUGGGGUUUGGGUGAAGCUUAAUUCAGCUUUCAUAGUCACCCGAACCAGCAAUUUGCCAUGACAGUUCGCAACAGUAUCAAUCACGUGACAAACAUAAAGAAAAUUCACUGUUUCUUUUUCUCUAUUUGCAUGAUUAUGUUUGGACAAAAUUUUGAAACCUAUAAAAGGAUUCCAUCACUCAAACAUAAAAUGAUGGCUCAAAGUUAACAGUGCGUUCCCUAUACAAAAAGGAUUAAUCUUCCCAACUUUAAAAAACUACUAGGAUUACACUAUAACCAUGAUCCAAACAUCCUAAAUUACAAAAGCUGAACAAGCAAUCCACUAAAAUCUAGAUAAUAUUCAGCUCUUGAACUGCAACUAGGCCUUCAAACGCCAUUAAAUCAGCCACCCUAAUUCCACCAUUCCUUCUGUAAGAUGUGAUGAAUACUUCUCCAUGCUCAACUUUCGUAAACAUAUAUAAAUAGCUUGAGUUCUAAAUUGUUCAGGCUCCCAGCUUCUAGGUGUUGGGAGUGUUUGCCAUCCACUUAAGCUUGUGCUUGCUAGGUUUGGUCUUUCUGGGGCUCUUCUCUCUUGUCCCUAGUUUUCAACUUAACCAAUAGCUGGAUCAAGCACCGCAUUAUUAAAGGCGCAGCAAUCAAGGCGAACUGAACGUUUCUACAUCCGGAGUAACAGCAAUGACCGCAGAUCCGUAAGUUGUAAUUAUUAAAAUGCUAGCAACCCUUACUUUUAACUCAAAAGGAAAUUUAUGUGUGAGUGACAUAAUGACAAGCAUGGCUGCAGAAACGGCUAGGGUGUUUGAUGUCAAGAAAAUGUAAUAGGCCACUGUUUCAUAUGCAUAGACAGAUGAUAGCAAUGCUUGUUGUAUUGUCCUCCUUGGUUUCUUGCCAUACACCGCCAAAGGGGUUAACCCCAGCUUGGAAGGUCAUGGCAGCUAUUAGGGUGGCAACUACCAAGAGAGCGUUGUGGGUGUCGGCUCUAUUCUUCUCCUUAUCCUUCUUUUUGAACUUUCCUUGUACUGAAAAUAACGACACUAGUCCCUAAAAGUAAUCCCAACCAUUGUUUUCUCUUUGGUUAUGACCUACAAACAGAAUUCAAGAAUUGAUGAAGCUCUAUGGGGAUUGAAGAAAAAAAAGGUAGUAGAUGGAUUUCUCCAGAAAAGCUUUGGGUUUGGGUGAGUCUUGAUUCAGCUUUUAUAGCAAGCAAUUUACCAUAACAGUUGGCAACAAUUUCAAUCUUGUGACAAACGUGAAGUCAGAAGCGGAGGGAGGUAGGGCCCCAGGGGCGGCCUAAUAAGUUCAAAGGUCUAAAGUAAAAUAUUCAAAUGAGGCUUUUUUUAUUGAAAUUAAAAAAAUUAUUAAAAUUUUAUCCUUCUAACUUUUGGAGAUGUAAAAUUUUUAAUUAAACUUUUAUAAUCAAGUUAUUCUAAUAUAUCUUUUUCAAUUGAUAAUAUAGUCAAUCCAAUCUUUCUUGAGACAUUGUUGAUCUUAAAUAAGAUUUUAUUAAUUUUAGUUUUGAAAAAUUUCUCCUGAAGCAUCAUUUACUCGAAUUAUUAACAUUAUUUUAAAAAUAUUGAACUAUUAUAAUUAUCUUAUAUUUUUUAAAUGGCUAAUAUAAAAUCAACAAUCAAAAUUUUUAAUUCAAAUAAAUCAACUAUAACAUAAAAUAAAAUAAUAUAACAAUAUAAUAUAAAUCUAAAUUAAAGUAAAAAAAUCUGUAAAUAUUAGAACAAUAGUACCUAAUUAUUGAAUGCUUAUUCCAAAUCGUAAAUGAGUUUCACAACUUUAUGAAGAUAAUAAAAGAACGGACUUCUAGUAUAUUUUUUGGAGAAAAAUUGAAGUUAAAGGAAGAAAGAACAAAUGAGAAAGGAAGAAAGAACAAAUGAGAAAGGAAGAUUUUAAAAAUAGAUAUUAUACAUUGAAAAAAAUAAUUAGUUUUAUAUAUAGAAAAAAAAUAACUGUUGGAAAUCAUUAAAUAUAUUGAUUGGAAAUAACGGAAAUAAGUGCAUGUUUGGCCUAAAUUUUUUUUAGCUUAUCUACCUCUAAAAGUAAAAGUCAGGCCAAACAUGAUUUUUUGAUAAGCUCUUAAAAAAAUAAUUUUUUUUAAAAAUAAAAUUUUUAAAAAAAGACCUUAAAAAAAAGCUCCAAUGAGGAGCUUUUUCUUCUUUUCUUUUAAAAAUAUAAGAGAAUUUUUAUUUUUGUUCCAAAAAUAUCCUCAUUUAUUAAAAAUAAUUACAAUAUUAUCCUCUAAAAAAAAGAAAUACAUUCUAUGAUAAUUUUAACAAAAAUUAUAACUUAUAAAAGGAAAUUUACUAAACAACUUUAGCUUAAUUUUAAAAACUAUUAUUUUUCAUAAGAGCUUCAUAAUAACUUUUAAGUUUGAAAAAAGCCAAGCUAAACAGACUCUAAAUAAGAAAAAAUAUAGCUGUUGGAAAUGAUUAAAUGCAUGUAACUGUUAGUUUAUUGAAAAUAAAAGAAUAUAGUUGAGAAUUAAUAAUAUUCUAAAAAUAAAAAAAUAAUAGAAAAUUAAGAUUUAUUAAGCAUAUAAUUAAAAAAAUAAAAGAACAAAUAAUUUGAUGAAUUAUUUUUUAUUUUUUUAUUUUUUUAUUUAAUUAAUUAUGUUAUAAUUAUUAUAAAAUUAUAAUUUGUUUUUAAAAUUGAAGCCUCUCCAAAUUGAGGCCUAAAGCCCUUGCUUGGGUGGCUUCACCCUAGGGCAGACCCUGUAGGGCCCCCGUGCCCCCCUACCCCCUUUCUAAAUUUAAAAAAUUUAUAAAUAUUUUAAAAAUUUUAAACGCUUAUAUUAAUUUUUGAAAUAAGCAAUUUCUUAAAAAUAUAAAUACUAUUAACAGAAAUUAAAAAAAGAUUACCAUUUUAUUUUUUGUUAAUUUAAAAAAUUAUUAUUAUAUUCUAAAAAUUAAAUAAAAGAAAGGAUAAAAGCAUCGAUCGAGGCUCCCUAAGGGAGAAUCAAGGUCCCUAAGGGAGCUUCGGUGCUCCCCAUCUUGAGAGGUUUUUUUUUUUUAAUUAAUAAAAAAAUAAUAAAAUUAUAUAAAGUAAUUUUUAAAAUUAAUUAAGAGUAAAAUUUUCUUUUUACUCUUAUUACGUCAGCAAGUUGACGAAAAUACUAACGGUUAACUAACGGUUGGACUUAUGUGUCAAAUAGAAAAUAUUUUUUUGCUGAGUGUCCAUUUUGAAAACUAAUAGAUUUUCAUGUAAUUUCGAUUAAAACUUAGGUGGAUAAAGAUAUUUUAUCUAAUAUUUUUUAUUUUGUUUUAAAUAUUUAUAAUUUUAAAUUUAAAAAAUUUAAAAAUACUAGCAAUGACUCAAAGCAUCGAAGAAAGCAAAAAAGAAUUUUAUUCAUUGUGCACUGAAAUUAGGGUUAUCAAUAGAUAGGAUAACUGCUAAUUUUGAGAUACUUGAAUCUCAAUUUUAUAAGAAAUAAAGUAUUUGAAUCUUAUUAAUUACCCAAGUAUUUUUAAAAAUUACUACCUUAACCCUAACACUAAUACAUCACACUUAUCUUAUAAAUAUCCUAAGGGAUUUUUUUUAAACCCUUAUAAAUAACGUGUUUUUGUAAAUAACCGCCAGGAUACUUUUAACUAUUUUUAGCCAUCAAAAAAGAUUUUGGGAUAAAAAUGCCCUUAAUGAGCCGUCUUCGUUAGCGUACACUCUCAAACAGGCGAAAAAUGGGAGAAAAAAAAAUAAAUAUGCAAAGAUUGGUUGUGCAAAAUACCCAAAUUUUGUUUUCGAAGGUUGUGCAAAACAAAAUAAUGUUGCAUGAGAUGGGUUUUCAAAAAUUAGGGACAUGGUAUUCAGAUAAUAGGAGAAGAGAGAUAUUAAAUCGAACGAGGAACAGGUCGUCAUGAAUGGAAAGCUUGGCUAAUGAUGUGAAACCAGAAAUCCUUGAUACGGUGGUGAAUUGAAAGGAGAAAGAUGUGAAUCCAAAGCAGGAAAUGGCCCCGCUAUAGCAGGCCAUAUGUUAGAUGGUUAUCGCAGGGCAGGGUUUAGAGUUUGUGAAACGUCAUGUUGAGAAUGUGUGAGACGGCACCGCUCAGAGUUGGUGAGACGCCAUGGAGGGAAUCUGUAAGACGCCAAAGUUAAGAGUUGGUGACACGCCAUGGUGGGAAUGUGUGACACGGCAACGUUGAGAGUUGGUGAGACGCCAUGGAGGGAAUCUGUGACACGCCAAAUUAAGAGUUGGUGACACGACACGGAGGGAAUCUGUGACACGCCAGCGUUCAGGGUUGGUGAGACUCCAUGGAUUGAAUCUGUUAGACGUUAGAGUUCAGAGUUGGUGACACGCCAUGGUUUGAAAUAGAGAGAGAAAAAAAAACAGACAGUUAACGUGGUAAUCCUUUGGACUUUCACUGUAUCAAUUUCCCUUUUUCAGAAUAAAGAAUGUCAUUUUUCAUUUUAAAUAGUUAUUAUUUAGAAUUCGUAACGUUUGUGUGAUUCAUUUCUCAUUCCCACCGGUACCGAAGUGUUCGAGAAGGCUCUUUGCAAGCGGAACGAAACCACAGCACCAGCAAAAAUGUCGACCAUGAAUGAAGAGGUUAGUGGGUCUCAAAUUCGUAAUAUUCCUGUGUUUGUUAAUUUUUUGGUUUUUUUCUGGGUCUGUUUGAUAUGUUUGAGUUUUUGGUUUUGUUUUGCAAAUGUUUAGACUGUGUUUUCUUACUGGUUUGAUGGUUGUUGUGGUUAAGCUGCAGUGGUUUUAGCGGUUUUGGGUGUUUACCGUGUGACGCCAUUGUUAUUAUAGUUAGUUAUUAGCGUGUGACAGCAUUUUACUUGAUAUGCAUAGUGUGUGACAGCAUUUUACUUGAUAUGCAUGUCGUGUCACAAAAUUUAACUUAUUAUGCAUGGCGUUUGACAGUAUUUUACUUGAUAUGCAUGUCGUGUCAUAGAAUUUUACUUGAUAUGCAUCUCGUGUCAUAGAAUUUUACUUGUUAUGCAUGACGUUUGACAACAUUUUACUUGUUAUGCAUGGCGUUUGACAGCAUUUUACUUGAUAUACAUGACGUGUCAUAACCUUUAACUUGAUAUGCAUGGCAUGUCACAACGUUUAACUUGUUAUGCAUGGCGUAUCAUAACAUUUUACUCGUUAUACAUGGCGUGUCACAACAUUUUGAUUGCAAUGCAUGGCGUGUCACAACAUUUAUUCUUUAUUUAUGUCUUCAGUGUACCUUGUUGCACAUGACUGCUUAACUCACUGGUGUAUGUGUGCCAUAUUUUACAGAUCCAGCACAGACAGUAUGAGGAUCUUGACAGUUUGCUGAUCGUGUCGAAGGAGAAGUGGGCGUUCAAUGUCUCAAUUAUUACUCACUGUAAGUGGUCGCAGCUGCAUUACAUCAUAAAGACUCUCUAACAAAAUGGGGAGUAUGAUCUAGUUAAGCGUACCUGCUUCGGAAUGCUCUUGGACAUCUAUCCACAGGGGUACUUUUACGUCGGUCUCUUGCACAGCAUCAUGAUUCGUCGGAUCAUUGAGAGGCAGUCAAUGGACCACGAGCUAUGGUUUGCCAUUGGCAAGAGCAAGGCGCAGCUAUCAAAGUAAGAGUUCUGCCUCAUCACUGGGCUGAAGUUUGGUCCAAUGCCUGAUGUGUCAGACGACCGUACAAGGUAGUUACGGAUGGAAUUCAUGCAAGAUACUAGAACGGGAAAGGCAGCGUUAAGCUGCAGGCUUUGCUUGAUACCUUUCGCGAGGGCAACUUUCAGCGACCAAGAUGGCACUCAUCUUGAUCGCGAAUAACAUUUUAUUUGGUAAAGACUAACGUAGAUGGGUGACGCCUUGGUUGCUGUCAUUGGUGGAUGACAUCGACGCUUGGAAUGUCUUCCUAUGGGGGCACUAUGUUUGGAAGCUGACCUUGGACUACCUUUUGAAGGGGUUCGAAGUUCCUGACUUGAGCGUGCUAAAGGAAACUCGGUUACACUACAACAUUUACGGAUUCGCAUGGGUGAUAUAGGUACUAAAACAUAACAUUUUUCAGUUUCUUUUUGGACAAAAAAUUUAUGGGUGCAGUCGUUUAUAAUUGACGGUCUGAUAAGGGUUACAUUUGACAUGCGGUUCUGGGCAAUGGAGGCAAUUUCGGCCCUCCGAAAAAUAGUUACCCCCUCUGGUUCGAAGGACAACGUCCACCCAUGAAUGUGCAGAUGAGAUUGCAAUCAGAAGCCAAAAGACUUCUACAAGACAAUUCAGAAGUUAGAGUCAUCUGACAAAGUGAGUAAACAGCUGCUAAUUUUUGCGUUAUAUUUGUAAAAUAAUUUUCCCUAUUCGAUAAUGACAACAUUCUAUUUGUUUAUUUAUAGUUGUGGGCACUGGAGACUUUGGAACCCACCACAGAUAAGGCCCUCUGGGAGUAUUUUGAGGACCUUGAUGUCCCGUUAUCGGAGGGUAAUGAGUACGUGCCAAUAGGGCAUAUGGAGGAUCGGUCAGAUUGGGGCUUAGGUGCGAGGCAAAAAAAGAGAAGAUUGAAGGAGAAAAGAGCCUCUGGUGGCACGAAGCGGAUGCGCACAGUCGCUGCUUUAGUUGAUGAGUUGAUGGAUGAAGGGGACGACCAUGGUCAAGGCAAUGAACAGCUGGUAAAGACAAUUGUAACAGUUUUGUUUCUCCAAUUCCAUUUGUGAUUAUCGAAUAACAUUUCUAUGUUUGCAGCUGGACCAUGGGCCGGUAACUCCAGAACCACCCACCGGUCCUCCUCAGAUGCAGAGUGGAAACUACCCGUCGAUAAGAUCGAUUCUAACAGUUUGUAUUCUACAUUCCCACAUAUGUUUAUAGAGUAACACAGUAAUUUAUGUAAUUACAGUUUACGAAAACGAGGACAGGUCCUCAAGCACCAAUCAGUCCAGCCCAAUCGCAGACAGCUAACGAGCAGGCGGUAAGGAUAUUAAAGUUGUAACGGUUAAUGUUCAACAAUUCCAAACAUGAUUAUUGAAUAACACAGUUAUAUAUGUAAUUGCAGUUUACGGAAGCGAUGACAGGUCCUGAAGCACCGAUCAGUCCGGCUCCACCGCAAACUACUAAUGAACCGACGGUAAAGAUAUUAAAGUUGUAACAGUUAAUGUUCAACAAUUUCAUACAUGAUUAUUGAAUAACACAGUUAAAUAUGUAAUUACAGUAUGCGAAAGUGACGACAGGUCUUGAAGCACCGAUCGGUCCGACUCCACCGCAGAUUGCUAUUCAUGGUGUGUCACAACGUUUGAUUUUGAUAUGCAUGGCGUGUCAAAACAUUUUGCUUAUUAUCCUUGGCGUGUCACCAAGUUUAUCUUGUUAUGCAUGGCGUGUCAGAACAUUUUGCUUGUUAUCCUUGGCGUGUCACCAAGUUUAUCUUGUUAUGCAUGGCGUGUCAGAACAUUUUGCUUGUUAUCCUUGGCGUGUCACCAAGUUUAUCUUGUUAUGCAUGGCGUGUCACAACAUUUUAAUUGUUUUGCAUGACGUGUCACGACAUUUUCCUCGUUAUCCUUGGCGUGUCACCAAGUUUAUCUUGUUAUGCAUGACGUGUUACAACCUUUUAUAAUUUAUGGGUUGUGGUAUUUUAUGAGCUCCCUAAUGAUUUUUUCAAUUUUGUAGGGCGAUCCAUCUCACAGUGCUGGUCUGGAGCACGAUGAUGCUGAUAAUGGAUAGUAUCAUGAACCUGGUGUUGACAUUGACAAUGACGUUCUUGGUGCUGAUGGAGAGCACGUAACUCAUGUAGAUGACGUUGUCGAAGAAGCUGUGGUAGUGGAUGUCACCCUUCAGUCAGAUGAUGUUGAAAGAGAGCAUCUUCCUCCGGCCGAAGCAUUCGUCAACACAGCAGCAGGAGCUAUGGUUUUUUAUCGUGAGAGCACUCUUGAUGUAGUUGAGAUACGGUCGUCAUCACCAAAGUCAUCUGCUGUCCAUCAUGGUGCAACAGAAAUUUCAGACCCAACUAAGCGGCAUGACUGAAAAUGGCGAGCAAAUACAUGGCAAACCCAUUCGUCGACCCCUUAGUGACCCGUCUAGAUGUGAGGGAUAAAAUCGUAGAAGACUACGAAGCUUUCAAGAAAGAGGAGUCUGCGACGUAAGCUCGUAAAUAAAAUUGCAAAUAUUAUUUUUUAAUGAAACAGUUAUCCACCAAGACUUAUGAAAUUAAUUAUGUUACAUAUGCAGGCGUAAUGUCGGCAUCUUAGGGGAUCAAUGGGCUGACUUUUUCAUAACCUUAGAGGAUCCCAAUGAGGAAAUGACAAGUGAACAUAUCUACGCAUGCCUCAGCCUACUCUGCAAGCGAAUGACAGGGCCGAAGUCAAAGCUAUACAUUACCCGUGCAUGCAUGGUUGACACGAUAUUCUUCGUAAGUUUAUUUGAAAAUUGUUAAAUUCUACAAAUACUAAGUUUUUGAUUGCAUGAAGUGUAAGCUAAUGUUUACAUCUUUCACAGGACACCAUUCGUAUGCUACACACCGAAUUUCCAACAGAAGAUGCCCGAGCCAAAAUGCAAAUUCCAGAUGAGUUGCGGGGCUAUGUGGAGGGUGAAAGGCCAACGUACGCCAAAAAAUGGGAAGAUGUUGAUUUCAUUCUCGCGCCUUGCAACGUUGGUGGGCAUUGGGUGGUUGCGAAGAUCGACUUGGUGCGGUGGACGAUCAAGGUCGUGGACUCAACAAUAACUUCAGAUGCUAAGGAUAACGGAGUUCAUGCGGGUCAGAUGACACCCUUGACGACAAUGAUGUCAUUCAUUUGACACUCAGCCAGUUAUUUCAACAACAUACGUCAGAAAAGAUGGGAUUUGACGCUGAUGCUAUUAGAUAUUCAUUUGCCAAAAGCUAAAGUGCAUCGACAGAAUGAUAGUGUCAGCUGCGAUAUGUUCAUGAUAGGGUACAUCGAGCAUAUUUUGCAAUAAAAAAAGAUCGAAAUUAAGUAGAAUAUGAUUGCAAAAAUGCGUCGGCAAUAUGCUCUGAAAAUUUUUUUCAACAGUUGUGAGAGCAAACCCUGAACAUAUAGGCCCUUGUCUGUACAAUUUUUUUGGUACACAUAAAUUUUUUUAUACAAUUCAUUUUAUACACAUUUUUUGUAUACACAAUUUAUUGUAUACAAUUCAUUGUAAACAAAUAUAAUCCUUUAUGUAUACACAAUAUACUUUGUACAAUUAUUUGAUACACAAUUAAUUUUUUUGCCUAUACACAAUUAAUUUGAUACCAAGAAUUUUUUUCCUUUUCUAUAUACAAUAUAUUUAAUUUCAUACACAGUCGAAAAAAGUCAACGUGUGACGCCUUAAACAUGAUACCAGUCAGCGUGUCCCAACAUACAUCUACUUGCACUCAGUGUGUCACCCCAAAUUUCUGCAAUAAGUCAGCGUGUGACGUCGCUAAUCCACUAACACUCGGCAUGUCAACCGAGUAAUCUGCUUCCACUCAGUGUGUCAGAACAAUUGGGCCAUGGCGUGUUAUGCCAUAAAUCUCCAGAUACUCAACGUGUGACACCAUUAAUCUGCUUUUAGUCGACGUGUCAUAAGAAUUGGGCCGUCGCGUGUCACCCCAGUUUGGCAUUAAUUAAUUUUCAGGUUCGUCGUAUUUCUCUUCCAAGCACACCGGAUGCACUAACCCAACAUUACAUUGAUUAACAUUGAAUAUAUAGAUUUUUCCAUCCAUCUAAUUACUUCUAGCAUGAAAUUGUUCUGUAUCCAUCCUCCUUUUUUUUUCCAAUUAUUUUCAGGCCAAAAUUCUAUCCUGCCAUUAUAAAAUCGUACGUCUAAAUUUACACACCAGAACUUGUUAUGCAUGACGGGUCAGAACAAUUUAAUUGUUAUGCAUGGCGUGUUAUAACAUUUAACUUGUUAUGCAUGGCAUGUCACAACCUUUUUACUUGUUAUGCAUGGCGUGUCAGAACAUGUUGUUCAUUAUCCUUGGCGUGUCACUAAGUUUAUCUUGUUAUGCAUGGCGUGUCACAACCUUUUACUUGUUAUGCAUGGUGUGUCAAAACAUUUUGCUCGUUAUCCUUGACGUGUCACCAAGUUUAUCUUGUUAUGCAUGGCAUGUCACAACAUUUUACUUGUUAUGCAUGGCGUGUCAUUUCAUUUUUCUUGUUAUAAAUGGCGUAUUACAAUAUUUUAUUUGAUAUGCACGAUGUGUCACAACAUUUUACUUGUUAUGCAUGACGUGUCUCACAUUUAUUCCUUAUUUAUUUCUUCUAUAUACCUUGUUGCACAUUAUGGCUUAACUCACUGGUGCAUCUGUACCAUGUUUUGUAGAUCCAACGCAUAUAAUAUGAAGAUUUUGACAUUUUGUCUGCUCGGUCAUUCUAUGAGGCCCUUUUAGUUACGGACUUUGUUGCCAAACAUUUCAGGCAGAUAAGCAAAUACAUGGCUCCUGUCUGAUGGAGAUUGUAAUCGGAAACAUUUUUACGAACAAUGUAAGAAUGUACUUUAACACGAUCUUGAUCAGACAGAGGCCUUGACAUGCUUAUCUGCCUGAAAUGUUUGGCAACAAAGUCCGUAACUAAAAGUGCAUCAUAAAAUGAUCAAGCAAACAAAUCCGUAAAGCAAAACGAAUUCAAUUACAAUUUUCAGACACAUUUAGUUAGGCGGUCAAGCUGUCUUCAUUCACAACACACCUUAUAUUUUCAGAUAUUGUCCUUCAUAUUGGACAGUUGUUGCGUGAGUGACCAGUUUGUCUACAACUUGUACAUGUUUUGGGUCGGUGUAGUCGUGGAGUCGCUGAUUGACUUAGAGAUGGUGCUAGAUUUGUGGAUGGAACUGCAAAUGGGUAUGGGUAAUUUUGUCUGUUAUGCCCGUACCUCUUGUAUUGUGAACAUCUUCGUGCUCGACUACCUUCACUAGCUGAUGAAAUCCUUCUCCUCCUAGGUCUUCCUGUUUGACCUCGCCAAGGUGGGGGCAAGACUACAAUUUGUUUCACAUGAGGGGGGAUGUCCCACUCACUAGGAUGCCCUACCGACCUAAUGGAUCCUGAAUAACCCUUCACGAAAACGGUUGUCUUGUAGUAGCCAGCGCAUAAUUCAAUGGCUUCAUGAUUGUAUUUACUGAAAAACAUUAACAACUCAAUCUUCAAGCACAAUGUAAAUGCUAUGUCAAUUACGGUUCAAAUAAGAAAUAAAGAUAUUCUGACCUUAUUGCUGCAAUGGCAUGGCUGCAUGGUAGUAAAUCUGUUUGGAACUCACAACAUGAACACGUCUUCCUAGACAGGUUUACAAGUCCGUCCAUCUUCCCGUCUUUAACUUCGAACUCCACUCUAUUGAUAGGCUUAACUAAAAAGCGAUGUGCAUCAUUGAACCUUUUACUCAACUGAUUGGCAACCCAAGGGCUGAGGGGCGUGGUCACCUUGAUGGCCUCCUCAUACCAUUCAUGGAACCAACGCUAGAAUAUGUCUCUGAUGAACUCGAUCAAAAUAGUGAUUGGCAUUUGUCUUGCAUGCUUCAAGCAUGAGUUAACAUAUUCCGCAAUGUUGGAUGUCAUCAUUUGGUAUCGUCUUGCCGGUGAAAAUGCACGUGCCCAUUUCUCAUGCCCUAUUCUUAUAAGGUCCGCGUGGGCUCCCAAGUGAAUCUGCUGUAUCUAGUUCAUAUGCUUGUUGAAAUCGGCCACCUUAUAGCAAUCUCGAGCAAGGGUGAAAAGCAUACAAACAUCGUCGCUCUUGAACUUGUUUUUAAAGUUUUUUUUCAAGUGGUAAUCGCAUAAACCAUGGUGCGCUUCUGGGAAUGCAUUUUGGAUUGUUUUCUUAAUGCCGAGAUGCUGAUCAGAAAUGAACAUAGUGUUUUCAAGACAACCAACCGCAUCACGCAGCUUUCUAAGAAACCACGUCCACGAGUCUUCGUCCUCAAUAUGGCCGAUGCCAAACGCAAUUGGAUAUACGCACUCGUUCGCAUCUUUGCAUACAGCGACAAACAGAACACCUUUGAACCUACCUUUCAGAUGUGUCGCAUCAAUUGCAAUCGUAGGACGCAUUACAUCCCUAAACCCCCGAAUACAAGCCUCGUAUGACCAUAAACAAUAUUUGAAUCUUUUUUCCUCAUCAGUAGCCACUGCAGUCACUAUGCCAGGAUUUUUUUGUUCUACCAUAUAAAAAUACGAUGGUAGUAGCUGAAAUGACUCCUCCGAUGGAUCGAAAACAAGCCUCUCCGCAUACUCUUUCACUUGCCAAGCCUUACCAUACAAGCAUUCCAAUCCCCACUGAACCCUCAUAUCACAAAUUAUGUCUUUAGGUCUCAAUGCUACUCCAUUAGCCCGAAUCUUGUGUGACAUAAGUUCACUAAUCAUCUUCGCACUCGUAGUUGGAAACCACCCUUGCAAACCAUCAACGGUACAGGUGUGUACUUUGUGGAAUUUUUGAACUUUCAAAUAUUCUCCUCUAUCAAGUAACUUCGUUGCACGAACACUGAACUUGCAUGCCUUAUCCUUGCAACCAACCUCAUAACGAGCUUUACAUGACCUUUUUACUCUUAUCGCAAACUUCUCUUUUAUAGCCAACAUGUUCAAAGCUCAUUUCAACUCAGUCUUUGACGAAAACAUUCUUCCUUUGUAUAAGCGAUCUUCGGCACAUGUCGACUCCUCAGUGGUAAUUGUUUGGAAGGAGAACCUUUCUGCACCUGCAAUUACCCACGUACGAGAUAUCCUUGCAUUUCCCCUUUCCUGAUCACUGUCAUCGAGCAAUGUAUCAAGGGAAUGAAUCUCGUUCUCACCAGCAAUAGGGUUAUUGUAUAUGGGGUCAUCACACUGAACAUCUCAUACAUCAACACCUCCAACAGGUUUCGUUUCACCUUCAACAUUAUUACAAAUUGGAAUGUCACUGUCAUAAAGGCAGUCAUCGUCUGAACUGUCAUCUUGUGAUUGUUCAAGCCCAUCAUCUGAAAUGUGAUCAAAUCUAUCUUCACCGGUAGCGAACAAAUCCUCAUUUCCCUCAUCAAAUGCAGUAUUAUACUCCAGCGUCGUAAUGUCACCCUCCAACCUCACAUUGUUGUCCUCAACUGUCGUAUUCUCAUUUGACAAUGGCAUUACACAUUUUACAGUUUCACCCGAUCGUUGCAUUUUUUCAAGAGAAGCAAGAAAUUGGUUUGAUGCACAUCCUAAUCGAAAUUGUGCAGCCAACUAUUUUGUGAAUGUCGUCUGUCUACUGGGGCUGCACAAACUCUUGUGCGUACCUCAAUUGCCAUUGUUGUGGGUUACGGACUGAAUGUUGUGGUAUACGUGAAGCAUUGUAAAUCUCAUUUUGAUUGAGCUGAUUACCAUGUUGUCCAACUUCUCCAUGUGACAAGACAUUUGUUUGGCGUCCCUUAAUGCUGACAUACACAACCGAAACAUUUCUUUGUUCUAGCAAAAUUAAUGCAACAUCCUCAUCGUCCUUGAUAAUUGGCCGUAAUAGCUCUCCGGGUGUACUGAUCAAUGCAUGUAACUCAAUCUCGUCAAUUUUUGAGUUUACCCUAACAACAUCUUCAACCAGCUUCAUCAAGCCCACAAACGACAAAUCACUCCUAACCCCCCGCAUUCGUGACUCACCACCCUUCUAAAUGCCAUCCACCCACUAACCACCGUGUUUUAUCACAAGUCGCACAAUUGAAACCCCACUGAAUUUAAAAAAAAAUUGUCAAUCAUUUUACACAAUACAUGUCGUGAUAAAAAAUUUAUCAGUCGUGUUGUUACACGCCAUGCAAAUAACGUAAAAUGUUGUAACACGCCAUGCAUAUCAAGUCAAAUGUCGUGACACGCCAUGAAUCAGUAUCGUUACAUGCCAUGCAUCACUGUUGUGACACUACAAUCACUGUAAUUACUAACUGGUUACACCAACAUCCGUAACACGUUAAAAACCUAAAAAACCAGUUAACCCACGACACACCAGGAACAACCAUGACACGUCAAAAACCUAUAAAUUCAGUUAACCCACCACACCCUAAGAACAACCGUGACACGCUAACAACCCAAAUAACUAGUUAACCCACAACACGCCAGUAACAACCGUGACACGCUAAAAUAACAGUUCACUUAUGUUAUAGAUGCAUGGCGUGUAACAAUUCUGGGCAAUGUUUCUAAUCCAUCUUAUCAUUUACACUAAAUGUUUCAGAAAUUUAAGUGUGUUGCAGAAAUAAACCCAAUAACAGGUACCUUGAUGUCAUCUCUACUAUAGGGUGUGUUAAUCUACGACAAUGUCGUCAGAUACCGAGAGAUAGACCACAGCCCGAUGACAAUGGUGCUCAACAGAGAGUUGACAGAGCUCAUACAGUUCAGAGAUCUGAGAGAGCUGACAACGAUGGUGCUCAACAGAGACUUGCCAGAGUUGAGACAGAGAAAGAUGAUCGAGCCCAAACAGCUGCGCGUAUUUAUUUUUAAUGUUUUUCAUUUUCUCUCUGGCAGGAGGCAGAUGGCUCAAACAGCUGAGCAUUUAUUUGAAAUGAUGUUUUUAAGGGCAUUUUGGUCUACUCAUGUUUAUUUUUGGGUAGAAACAGACAACUUUAUAUGGGCGGUUAUUUAUGAAAUCACCUUAUCACGAGGUCCUUCUCUCACAAUUUUCUCAUUAUCCUAACUCGUUUAAAAACUCGAUUAUGUAAAAAAAUUAUUAAAAUGCUCUUCAUGGGUACCAGCACUCGAGUAUUUGACUCAUUGGUUGGUGCAUUAUCCCUCUAUUUAGAGAGUUGAGUUUGAAUUCCCCUUCCCUCAAUUAUAAAAAAAAAAUGCUAUUCAUGGGUAUCCCAUCACUCGAAUCCAAAUCCGUACUUAUAUCUAUAUACAAUAAUAUUUCUCCCACAUGUUUCAUAUAAUUUACUAAUUAUUAAAUUAAUAAAAACACACAAAUAAUAAAAUUUAAAUUUAAAUAAUUAAAAACAAAUAUCUCAAAUAUAAUUAAUAAUUUUAUAAGUUAUAAGUUUUGUAAUGUUAAUAAAAAAUAGAAACUAAAUAUGUUUAUAUUUAAAGUGUAUACAUACUAAAAGUAUUUUAGUAUAUAUAUAAUGGUAAGUAUAUUUCUUAUAAAUAAACCUAAUGUAUAAAAAGUAUAUAUAUUAAAAGACAUUACAAGUUAAUAAAUAAUCUAAGUUUCAUUAAUUAAUUUAAUUAAUUAUAUGAAUUUGUCCUUAAUUACAUAAAAUUAAAAAAAUAACUAAGUUUCAAAUCUCACAACUUUUCUUUAGAUUUAUAUAUUAUAAGUGUAUAUAAACAAAUGUAUAUAUAUUGUAAUUAAUAAUUUUAUAAUUUAUAUAUUUUUGUAAUGUUAACACAAAAUAGAGAGUAAAUAUGUUUAUAUUUAAAGUACAUACAUAUAUACUAAAAGUAUUUUAAUAUAUAUAACAGUAAUUAUAUUCCUUAUAAAUGAACUUAAUAUAUAUAAAGUAUAUAUAUUAAAAGACAUUAUAUGUUAAUUAAUAAUUAUAGUUUCAUGAAUUAAUUUAAUUAAUUAUAUAAGUUUGUCCUGAAUUACAGGAAAUUAAAAAAAAUAGCUAGGUUUUAAAACUAUUCAAAUUUCACAAUUUCUCUUUAGAUUUAUAUAUUAUAAGUAUAUAGAAAUAAAGGUAUGUAUAUUAUAAUUAAUAAUUUUAUAAAUUAUAAUUUUUUUAAUAUUAACACAAAAUAGAAAAUAAAUAUGUUUGUAUUUAAAAUAUAUAUUAAAAUAUUUUAAUAUAUAUAAUAGUAAUUAUAUUUCUUAUAAAUUAACAUAAUAUAUAAACUAUAUAUAUUAAAAGAUAUUACAAGUUAAUUAAUAAUCAUAUUUUUAAAAUGGCUAAAGGAACAUUGUUCGUACAUUGCAGUCUGGCUAUCAAAAGUCUCAUUGUCGAUCAAUUUCUGAAAUUUCUUUUGGUUCAUGAUUGUGCUUUUUUUAAUGGUCAGGAAAAUUCUAAAUACCCUGUACCAUCUGAUAAUGCAUGUGAAUAUACAGCUUGAACUUGAAACCCUUGGAAUAUAUCAGAUAAAAACAAUAUAAAAACUAGCAUUAAAAGUCUGACAGUGGGAGUUUCCUUUUCAUUGAUGCCCCAUUUUUCCCCCCAAUUCUGUUAAGGGUGAUACUUUUGGUUGAUACCUGCUCUUAUCCACCUUAAGAUUCUCACAAAAACUUUUCUUUUUUCUUUUGACGUGCCACUAAAAGUGCAUAGGUGACGAUUGUGUUCAUAAUUGGGCAGCAUUUCGGGCUGGAACAAAGAAUGAAAACAUUGAGUGGUGCAUAGAGCCCCUGGCCUGGGAUUUAGUGAUACUUACAAAGUAGGUGAGUUGACAACACUAAUUUGUACACAAAGAAAUGCUGUUUUUUUGCUGGUGGUUCAUUUGGGUACAGAGAUGGGUCAUAACAGAUUGCUCUAUUUGACAGUUGUCUUUAUUCUUUUGGAUGGGGACAUGGAACAUGUGCAUGCAGUCACAAGCAACUACUGAUCUGCUGGAGAGAAUAAGUGAUCCUGCAAAUUUUUAGCUUAGGAGAUAGAUGUAUACAAAGAGUGCUAAUAAUCCGUACAGAUUGUCCUAUUAGCCUGGCAAAUUUCUCUCUGUAAAUUAAUAUAAAGUUUUCAUAGGAUAAGAUGAUGAAAAUAAAGAUAAUAUGAUGAAAAUAAAAUAAUCUGAUACAAGUAUGUAAUCCAAAGAAGCCCCAGAAAAUGUCAACCUUUGGAUGCUAUCCAUAAAUGGAACAAAAAACUUAACAAACAAUUCAACCUUGCCAUGAAUCUGUGAUCUGCAAACCCAUGUUAGCUUGAAGAUUCAUGGGAAAUAGACAGGUUUCUUCUCCUCAAUUCGUUCAAUUUUGCAAUAUGCAUUGUGAAGUUCUUCUUAUGUUUGCUUGUCUACAACAUGUCCAGAUUUGAAGCUGAGUUCAGUGCAAUCGCAGACCCAGAGAUGAAUCUUUUUCCAUUUAUGGAGAUUAGGGAAUUCCAUCGGUGUAGAAAAGAUGCUAUGGUGUCAAUUGAGCUUGAUGAAUUAUGGCUAGACCGACAUAAAUCAAACUUUGGAGAAUGAUUACAAAUAGAUGAUCAUAUACCCUUUAAUUUUUUUUUAAAAAAUAUAAAGACAAAUUAAAUAACACAAACUUAAUUAUUCCUUCCAUUUUAUGAAAAAAAAAGAAUAUUGUUACCAUAGAAAAAGCUAUGCUACCUAUUCUUCUAUGACAAAAAUUACUAUGACAAUUCGUAACCGAACUUCAAUAAUUGAUGCAUCUAUUUUUUAUUUUAAAAAAAUAAAUUCAAAUUUUUUUAGAUAAUAAAAAAAAUUAUAGAGAAAUUUGAAUUUUCAUUUGUUGAACAUUUGAAUGAAAUUUCAGAUUAAAUAAAGUACAAUAACUAUUACUGUCGAAAUAAAUCAAAACUUGAUAGAUUCACGAGAUGUGAAAUAAAUAGAUACUUUUAUUUAUAUGGGCAUUUUAAAAAGUAGUCCUUAAAGAUAAGAUAUUUUUAAAAAUGACACUCUUUAUAGUUUUAACUAUUUUUAGCUAAGUUUGACAAAAUUACCCUUAAUGAAGUUACACGCUAUGAUGUUACACGUACAAAAAUCUAUAACAAGCCAUGGUUAGCAUGUUACACGCUAUGUACAAAAAUCUAUGACACGUCAUGUACAAAAACCUGUGAUAAGCCAUGGUUAGCGUGUGACACGCCAUGUACAAAAACAUGUGACACACUUGUACAAAAACCUGUGACAAGUCAUGAUUAGCGUGUGAAAUGCCAUGUACAAAAGCCUGUGACAAGCCAUGGUUAGUGUGUUACACGCCAUGUACCAAAGCCUAUGACAAGUCAUGGUUAGCGUGUGACACGCCAUAUACAAAAGCUUGUGAUAAACCAUGUACAAAAACCUGUGAAACUUCAAAUCCUUUCAAUAUUUUUUUUUAUUUUUUUUUUACAAUUUGGCAUAAAUUAAAGUGUUUCUAACAUGUUUUCAUAAAUCAAAAUACAAAUGUUUUUUUAUCUAAAGCACCCACUUUGACUAAAAAAAAAAAAAAUCUUUGAAAACCUAGAUUUAUAAAUUUCAAAAUUUUGAGUUUAUUGAUAUCUAGGUCAUUAAUUGAUUCAAUUAAAAACUAUUUUAUACAUUUGUGAUUAUUUCUACCGUUUUAGUUUUAUUCAAAAUACCUAAAAAUCGAAUUUUUCAAACAGCCACCCAUCCAAGCAUAUCAAAACCAUUGCUUGGUGUCUUGAAAGCAUAAAAAAAAGAAAUCUGAAAACGUGAGAGAGAGAAAUCGUAAGCAUAGCAAACGAAUACCGAACAGAAAAAUCGAUAAAAUUUGAGAGACUGAGAUGGUGAGAGAGAAAUCUGAAGCACAAAUGGGGAGAAAUUGUGAUAAAUGGUUUAAUUUAUUUGAAAUAGUUUAAAGGGUAUUUUCGUCAAAUCAUGACUAAAUAUGGCUAAAAAUAGUUACAUUUAUUUUGAUAGUUACUUUAAAAUAUUUUUAUCAAAAAAUGUCAUUUUCCAUAAUUUUCUCUUAUUUAUAUAUAGAACAUACAAAAUUACACACUUUAUUUACUUAUCAUACAAACUUAAUUUUACAUCACUUAGGAAGACAAACUCACAAAUACUAGUAUUGAUUUGGUACAAAACUAUUUUUUAUUUUUUAUUUUUCCAAGAUUUUUUUUUCUAUUUUUAAUCUUAUCAUGAGAAACCGGCAAAUCUUGGAUACAUACCCUACGUCCACAUCCCGUAAAUAUAUAUACAUAGCUUGAGUUCUAGAUUAUUCAGGCUCCCACCUUCUAGGAGUUGAGAGUGAAAGCCAUCCACCUAAGGCUUUGCUUGCUGGGUCUGGUCUUUCGGGGGCUCUGCUGUCUUGUUCCUAGGUCCGACAAAUGCCUGGAUCAAGCAUGGAGGCUCAGGUUUCCUGUUUACCAACUUAACCAACAGCUGGAUCAAGCACCGCAAAAUUAAAGGCGCAGCAGCUGUGAUCAAGGCGAGUUGAAAUUUGUCUCCAUCCCGGGUAACAGCAAAGAUUGCAGAUCCAUAAGUUAUAAUCAUUGAAACGCAGGCAACCCUUACUUCAAACUUGAAAGGAAAAGUAUGCGUGAGAGACAUAAUGAGAAGUACCGCUGCAGAAAAGGCUAGGGUGUUGGAAGUCAAGAAAACGUAGUAGGCAUCUGAGUCAGAUGAACAGAUAGCAAUGCCUGCUUUAUGGCCAUUCUUGGUUUCCUGCCAUACACCACCAGGGGGGUUAACCCCAGCUUGGAAGGUCACGGCAGCUAUAAGGGUCGCAACUACCAAGAGAGCGUUGCGGGCGUCGGCUCUAUUCUUAUCCCUGUCCUCCUCGUUUGCACCUUCCUUGUACUGAAAAUAACGACACCAGUCCUUGAAAGUAGUCCCAACCAUUGUUUUCUCUUGGGUUUUGAACUACAAACAGGAUUCAAGAAUUGAAGAAGCUUUUUGUUUAUGGGGAUAUGAAGAAAAACAAAGUAGUAGAUGGAUUUCUCCAGAAAAGCUUGGGGUUUGGCUGAGUCUUAAUUCAGCUUUUUAUAGUUCGCAACAGCAUCAAUCCCGUGACAAAUAUGAAGACAAUUCACUGUUCUUUUUCUAUAUUUGCAUGAUUAUGUUUGGACAAAAUGAGAAGUAGAUUCCUAUCUCAUCUUUGGACGUCAAUAAUUUAGAUUUUUUCAACCUUGUCAAUGUUGUUAAUUAGGACAAAAACCUGAUAGGCACUUCCACUUUCACUGCCAAGAUAUGUCUGUAUGAUUUGUAUUUCUCAAUUUUACACAGCAUUAUCUUCCCUCUUGGUCAGUGCAGGAAAGAAGAUUACAUAAUCAUGCAUUUCGAGUUUAUAUAAGUAUAUAUUUGAUAUUUUAAUAAGUCUUACUAUCCAAAAUUUCAGUAACACAAUAUUAUUGAAUACCCAUAAUUAAAGGGUUAUUUACAAAAUAUGUAUAAAAAUUAAAUAAUUAUAUGAUAUUUCGGUAAGUAAGUAUCUAAUCAUUAUUUUACGUAAUAAAGUAUCUAAUAUUUCAAUAAUUUUAUUUACUCAUGUUUUUCAUAUAAGUUAUUGAUAAAGCAUGUUUAUGGUGACUAAAUAAUAUAUGAAAAAUAAGAAAAAUAAUCAUUCAUUUCAAAGUUAGUAAAAAAAUUGAAAAAAGUUACGAAAAAUAAUCAUAUUUUUAAAAUUAAUGUUUUUGCUUUCCAAAAUUAUUUUAAAAGUUACAGAAAUCACAUAUUCUUAAAUUUUUACAUAAUGUUAUUCACAAAGAACAUAUUAUAAGCAGGUGGACUGAAAAUAAUGACAGGAGGGUAGCAGUCACUUUUAAUUUUUAAAUUUUAUUUCGAAAUCGAAUUAUUAACUUGAUAUAAAACUUUAUAAAAUUAUUUUUAAUUUUUUUUAAAUAAAAUUCUAAAUCGGUCAUCAAUUAUAAAUUUAAUAAAUCUCAUGUAAUUGAUUUCAAUUUUUGCUAGCGUGCAUGUGCAUAGUGGAAAUCUGGAUGACCUUGACUUAAAACGCCGGUCUUCAUAUCUAAAGCAUAGUUAUCCAUAAUCCAUAAGACGAGACAAAAGCCUUUUUGGAGUCACUGUUUUAUCAUGAGGACCAGCUGUGCUUAGUCCGACUUCGAAUUGCCGGGCCAUUUUUAGUUUGUUUCCAUUGAUGACGUGUUUGAGUUCAUGUCAGCCCAUGACCUCUCUUUCGAGGGCUUCAUCUGAAGUCAGCAUUGCAUUGCAUGAUGAGUUUUCUCAUGGAAGCCGCCGGGGACUGUUCUCAUUGACUGAGGUGUCUUUUCUUUAUCGUCCAGGUUGUCAUUUGAUUUAGUUUAAUGGUUGUUUUAAUAAUAUAGUUCAUUUUGCUGUCAAAAGAUGUCCUCAAUUAUGUUUCGCUUUUUGGAAAAAAGAAAUGAAAUCUACUGUGAUUUACUACCAUAGGCAUAUUUUAAUCUACUAUUAUUAGUCUUUAUUUGAGUUUAAAAUGUGUUUUUAUCAUUAUUUGUUCAAUUCUCGUUAGAAUAUAAGAUUGAAAAAUCAAAAAUAUAAGAAAAAAGUAUCAAUUAUAUAAUUAAUCAGAUAUAAAAUUUCUUUUAAUAAUAAUGAUAAUUUUAUUUAUAAUUGAAAAUAACAUGAUCAUAUAGUUAAUUUUACUGUCCUUAACAAAUCAGCUAUAGGCCCUUAUCAAUAUUACAAUUACAUUUUAACAUCAACAUCCAUUGCAAUCAAAAACUCAAGAGUGCUUUUCAUAAAUGGACUUGAGGCAUAAGACGUCUUUAAGAGUAGUCCUCUCUAUAAUUUUAUCUGUUUUUAGUCAAGAGAAAAAAAAUUAGAUAAAAUUAUCUUUAAUGAAAUCAACCCAUUCGCUAGGCUCCGUGCUUCAAUCCGAAACUUAUUAACGGGUCAAGUAUGUUUAGGUUUGCACCUUAAAUUGACUUAUAUUUUUUGAACUUUCCUUACUAGAUUAUUCAUCUCUGGUGUAUUUCUUACCAGAAAGAAAAACGUUUAAGCAUUUUGAAUAUUUUGGAGUAGUUUUUGAUACACAAAGAAAAUUUGUGAGCGUUUUGAACAUUUUUAUACAUUUUAGAGUGAUUUUUGAUAUAUGAAGAAAAACUUUCGAAUAUUUUGAGCAUUCAUAUUUGUUAAUUAUGUUGUUAAAUGAAAUAUGAUAUAUCGUUUGAAGUUGUUGAUCUUGUUAAAUGGAAUUCAGUAGUUUUGGUAUUUUUGAAAAUUAUGUGACUAGUUUUUAAGCAUUGCGUGACUGACUUUGGGCAUUACGUGACUGAUUUUUGAUAAGGCAUUGCGUAACUAGUUUCUGAUAAGACAUUGCGUGACUAGUUAAUAGACAUUGCGUUACUGAUUUUGGGCAUUGCGUGACUAGUUAAUAGGCAUUGCGUGAUUGAUUUUGGGCAUUGCGUGACUAGUUUUUUAUAAGGCAUUGCGUGACUAGUUUCUGAUAAGAUAUUGCAUGACUAGUUGAUGGGCAUUGCGUGAUUUUUUAGUAAGGCAUUGCUUAAAAAUCAGUCAUGCAAUGUAUAAAAACUAGUCAGGUAAUGCCUAAAACCAAUAAUGUAAUGACUAAAAACUAGUGACACGGUAAUUAAGUCACGUAAUACCUAAAAACCAGUAAACUCAAUUUUGAGAUUCUAUGAAUAAACCAACAAACUUAAGAACCUAAAACACUUUUUUUUUUUUUGCUAAGCCAUGAAAUUGUGAAUUUCAUAAAAGAUAGGUUACAAAAUUCCAUAACCCUCCAAAGCAAGAGAAAAUAUAUCCCUAUCGGGAGGUUUUGCUCACUCCCCUUAUACAAAAACAAAAUAUACCCUAUUUACAAAAUAUUUCCUAAACAAUUUCAACUCAAAAUCCCUAACAAACAUGCUUAACAAUCAUCCAAAUCCCAGACACAACAAAAUCGUGAAACACCAUAAAACUCAUCAAACAUGUUUUAGCUGUUCUUUCUCCCUGAGCAAAAUCGUUGUCUGCAAAAAGCAAAAUCGCUGUUCAUCGCCCUUAAAAACCCCGAGAUCCACCAUCCAAAAAAAUAAAACAAAAUAAAAAAGAGCUUGAUGUCAUAUUUGCGAAUUAGAUGACGAAAUAAAUAUAUUUGAGCAGAGAGAGAAAUCGAUAUUUAAUUUUAAAAUUUUUAUAUAGAUGGCAGGAGAGAGAAAACUGAAACCAUUUUAAUUUGUCUGAAAUUAUUUAAAGGGUAUUAUUGUCGAGUCAUAUCAAAAACUGACUUAAAAUUAUAGAGAUGGUUAUUUUUGAAGUCACAUUUCUAUGAAGGUCAUUUCUCACAAUUUUUUCAAAACUCAAAUAGUCCCCAAUAACCGGAUGCAAAAAAUUCAUAUAAAGAAGAACAACACUUACUUGAUUAAGAACCAAAUAAACUUCAAAGUUUUAAAAAUAAAGAACAAGUUAUUAUAUAUGUUGGCAAGAUAACAAUUACCAGAGGAGUAUAAUUCCGAGGUACUGAAUCAAUUCAUUGUACAAAGAGGAGCCACAUUCUAAAUUCCAUGUCGAUUUACGUUCGUCUCUAAUGCUUUCUCCUUGUAUCUGGACCAACUCUCCAUUUCUUGAGCAACCAUAUGGUAAACCGUGCAAACUCCACAAGAAAUAGAAUUCCCAUCACAGUGACCGUUAUAUAUAUAUCUCUCAUUUUCGUUGGACCUAUAUAGAUUAUAGCUACGACAUAAGUACCAAUCAUUGAAAACAUGGCCAGCCGCAAGCCUGCCCUGAAAGGGAAUCCACUGGUGAGGAGAAAGAUCAUGGCAACUGAUGCAAUGAAACCAAUUGAAUUAAAACCGAUGAACACAGAAAAGAUUGGAGGGUUUUUACUCAUGACAGCCUCUCCAGGCGACAUGGUUCUAGAUCUCUUCUGAACGGUGCUGACGGUCGGAUUGUUUUUAUUAUCUGAGUCUGACCAAAAACCACUUGGAGAGUUCAGAAUUGCUUGGUAUGUGAUCCUUGCUAUCAGGACUGCCACAAUCAUUAAUGAGUUUUUAGUUUCACUUGAUGAUUCCGUAACCUCUUUCAUCAGUUCCUUCCAUAGGUUCCAUGAAGAAGAAGAUAGCAAUUUUUGCUUAUUGUUAAAGUUUUCUGCUUCGGUUUGAACAUGUGCAGGGCCUGUUGUGCUUUCUCGGGCUUUCAAAGCUCCAGCUUGCUGAAAUAUCUGAUGAAUCUGAAUAUCAUAACAAUCACCUCCACUUUGGAGCAGAAGAUCUAGGACAUCCUUUGGCGUAAAGCCGCUUGAGUUUAUGGCAUUUACGUUAACGCCAGAAACAACUGCUUCUUGACCAAUUAACAGACCUAUAAUCUACAAACGAGUAAAUAUUCGUAAUUUACAACCUCUGGAACGAAUACCAACAACGCAAUCAGUGCAAUCUGAAUUUUUAGAAUAGCUAAGGAAUUAAACAGAGUUUAAUUAGAAUAACAUGCUUUAGACUCCACCAUGACCCAAACCAGGAUUUAGUAGCACAUCUGCUUGGACUUAUACUUCGAAUAUAAUAGAUUGAAAAAGAAGAAAAAAUAUAAUAGAUUGAAAAAGAAGAAAAACAAAUAAAUAAGAAAAGAUUAAGUAAUUAACUAGCAGGAAGAACUGCAAAACUUGCCUCAGGUUGUCUGUUGAAGGUCGCCUGAUGUAAUAUGGUGUUCCCAUCCUUUUCUUUCCAAAUCAAAAUUUCCAUCAUAUCUAACCUCCUUAUCUCCUCGAUCAGUACCCUUGCAGCCUCAAUCUGGUUACUCUUCACAGCCAAAUGGAGGGCAGUUUCACCAAAAGCAGUCAGUUCUUUAACAGACUCGGGGCAAGCCCAGACCUGUUCCUUAACAACAUCAACUCUGCCUUUCAAAGCCGCGCAAUGAAGUGGAACCUUACCAUCUUUUCCCUUCAAAAGACAUAUGUCAUAUCCAACUCUCAUAAGCUCUCUUAUAAUUUCAACGUGCCCUUUAGCCGAAGCGACAUGCAUCGGGCUAAAACCAUUUUCACUUAGCUCCCUAGCGAAUGCUGGCUUUCUGCUCACAAUUUCUUUUGUGAUUUCUGUUUGUCCCGCCAUUGCUGAUAUGUGUAGAGGAUUAUCGACAGAGUUUAACGCAACUCGAUCAAGCAGAAAUGGAUCUUCCCCGAGUAAUGAGUGAAAUGCAGAAAUAUCUCCAGAACGAGAUGCUUCGAACAAUCUUGGUUCCAUUUCUACUUGAUCUUGUUGCCCUUACCAGUGUGACAAAAUGUAGUGUGAGCUUUGAGUUUUCUUGGGACAUUUUAUAGUAUAUUUAAGGUGAUAGAAUUCGUCACCGGGAAUGGAAUUUGAUCCUAUGGGCAAGCUGGCAAGCAAUGCAAGCAAAAGACAAAAGGACUAUAUGCUUUUUACUAUUAAUUUACCUUUGAAACCUGGAAAGCGGCAUAGAAGGUAACUUAGAAGAUCUGAAAGAUUGAAUGGUCUAAAUUCAUUAAAAUGAAGAAGAAUUAAGGUUAAAAUUUUUUAAAAUUAAUAUGUUGAAUUUAAUCAACAAUUUUUUCAGAAUUGAGCUUGGAUAUUUUGAUUUACAUUGCUUUUAUUCAUGAGUUGAAGUAUUGAGAUUUAGUGACUCAAGUGUAAGAGAAUCAUUUGAAUGAUUUUCAUCUUUUACUGUUAAAAAAUUUAUCAAUUGUUUUCAACUUGCUCAUACUUUAAUUAAAUUUGGAAAAAAAAUUUAAUGCAGUCAAUAUCCAAUAUUUUUAUUUUAUUUUUAUUUAAAUUUAAAAUACUAAAUAUAAAAUUAGUAAUGCAUAAAAUAUAAAUAAUUAAAUUCGAUAUACAAAAUUUCAUAUAAUGAUUAAAUAUAUAAAUAGUUAAAUAAUAUAAAUAAAAAAAUUAUUUCUUAAUUUUACACAAUAGUAGUGAGUAGUCGCGUUCUAUUUUGUCCAAUUGUUGCAUCCACCAUUAUUUCUAUUAAAGGAAGAGGAAAAUCUUGUUCAAGUCCAAAAAGAGAGAGGAUAUUACACUUCUAUAUUUCCGUUAAAGAGGAUUUCCUAUUUGGGUUGGGUUUCCACUUAAAUGUGACCCCGAAUACCUUUCACACCUACUACUUCUACUUGCAAAGAGAGAUGAUGUUGCAACCUCCACCAAGUAUUGCAGAUUCCUCUUUAAGCCUUGGGAGGUCACUUAAAGCCCAUUUAUGCUUCAAUGAAGAAGAAUCCUCUCAUCAAAAGCAGCAACAACUAGCUGUUUAAGGCCUUCAAUGUUCGCUCUGAUUUCCUGAAUGAGUUAGAUACAGAGACAGUGACUUUGUUCAAACAUUUUGGGCUGGCAGGUUGAAUGCAUGACUUGUGCACUAAAACCCCACAUGUUCCCCCCUCUCUCUCUCUCUUCUUUUGGUUUCUUGUGGUUUCCUUUUUUGGGGUUUUGAAUCUGAAAUUGUUUAUGUAUGUACAGAUGGGAGUUUCUUCUUUACAGUCUGGCUAUCAAAAGUCUCAUUGUCAAUUAAUUUCUGAAAUUUCUUUUGAUUCAUGAUUGUGCUUUUUAUAAUGGUCAGGUAAAUACCCUGUAACAUCUGAUAAUACAUGUGAAUAUACCGCUUAAACUUGAAACGCUUGGAAUAUAUCAGAUAAAAACAAUGUAAAAACUUGGAGCUAAAGUCUGAAAAUGGGAGUUUCCCUUUCAUUGAUGCUCCUUUUUCCUCCCAAUUCUGUUAAGGGUGGUACUUUUGGUUGAUACCUGCUCUUAUCCACCUUAAGAUUCUCACAAAAACUUUUCUUUUUUCUUUUGGGGUGCCACUAAAAGUGCAGAGGUGACAAUUGUGUUCAUAAUUGGACAGCAUUUGGGGUUGGAACAAAGAAUGAAAACAUUGAGUGGUGUGUAGAGACCCUGGCCUGGGAUGUACUGAUACUUACAAAGUAGCUGAGUUGACAACAAAUUUUGUACACCAAGAAAUGCUGUUUUUUGGCUUGUGGUUCUUUUGGUAUAGAGAUGGGUUAGAACAAAUUGCUCUAUUUGACAGUUGUCUUUAUUCUUUUGGAUGGGGACAUGGAACAUGUGCAUGCAGUCACUGGCAACUACUGAUCUGCUGGAGAGAAGUGAUCCUACAAAGUUUUAGCUUAAGAGAUAGAUGUAUACCAAAAAUGCUAAUAAUCCGUACAGAUCGACCUAUUAACCUGACAAAUUUCUGUCUGUAAAUUAAUAUAAAGUUUUCAUAGGAUAAGAUGAUGAAAAUAAAAUAAUCUGAUAGAAGCAUGUAAUCCAAAGAGGCCCAAGAAAAUGUCAACCCUGCAUGCUGUUGAUCUAAGAAAGACAAACAUUUAAAAUCGAAAAAAGAAAAAGUUGUGUGGGUCUUGCGGGAUAUAAACAAAAAGCUGCUUUCAAGCUUGGGCCUCAGCCUGGUAAGAGUGUAAUCAAACCCAACUAGUCUUCGAGCAAGACUAGCCCUUUGGUCCAAACCUAGCAAAACAAUACAACAUUGCCAUGAAUCUGUAAUCUGCAAACCUAUGUUAGCUUGAAGAUUCAUAGGAAAUAGACAGGUUUUCUUCCCCCUUAAUUCGUUAAAUAAUGCAAUACGCAUUCUCAAGUUGUUCUUGUGGCUAGCUUGUCUACAACAUGUCCAGAUAUCAAGCUGAGUUGAAUGCAAUUGCAGACCCAGAAAUGAAUGCUUUUCCAAUUAUGGAGAUUGGGGAAUACAUCAGUGUAAGAAGAUGCUAUGUUCAAUGGAGCCUGAUGAAUUAUGGCUAGACCGACAUAAAUCAAACCUGGAGAAUGAUUACAACAUGAUAAUCGAUCAUAUAUCCAAAUGAAAUUGCACAAACUUAAUUAUUGAAACGCUAGCAACCCUUACUUCAAAUUUGAAAGGAAAUUUAUGUGUGAGUGACAUAAUGACAAGUACUGCUGCUGAAAAGGCUAAGGUGUUUGAUGUCAAGAAAACGUAGUAGGCUGCUGUCUCAGAUGCAUAGAUAGAUGAUAGCAGUGCCUGCUGUAUUGUCCUCCUUGGUUUCCUGCCAUACACCACCAAGGGAGGUUAACCCCAGCUUGGAAGGUCACGGUAGCUAUUAGGGUGGCAACUACCAAGAGAACGUUGCGUGCGUCGGCUCUAUUUUUCUCCUUAUCCUCCUUUUUUGCACCUUCCUUAUACUGAAAAUAACGACACCAGUCCCUGAAAGUAGUCCCAACCAUUGUUUUCUCUUUGGUUAUGUCUUACAAACAGAAUUCAAGAAUUGAUGAAGCUCUAUGAGGAUUGAAGAAAAAAAGGUAGUAGAUGGAUUUCUCCAGAAAAGCUUUGGGUUUGGGUGAGUCUUGAUUCAGCUUUUAUAGCAAGCAAUUUACCAUAAUAGUUGGCAACAAUUUCAAUCUCGUGACAAACGUGAAGUCAGAAGCGGAGGGAGGUAGGGCCCCCGCGCCCCCCCACCCCCCUUCUAAAUUUAAAAAAUUUAUAAAUAUUUUAAAAAUUUUAAACGAAUAUAUUAAUUUUUAAAAUGAACAAUUUACUUAAAAAUAUAAAUACUAUUAACAGAAAUUAAAAAAAGAUUUAAUAUAUUAUUUUUUAUUAAUUUAAAAAAUUAUUAUUAUAUUCUAAAAAAUUAAAUAAAAAAAAGAUAGAAGGAAUGGUUGGGCGUACGCCCAGCCAUCCCUUCCCCAACCACCCUGAAUGAUGAGGUUCUGGCUACCAACUCCUUGGUGCCAGAACCCCAUUGCCAGGUUGUCCAAAUUUUUGGACAACCCAACUGUUAAAAAUCAAACCUGCAAAACCAAAAAAAGAGGACAACCAAGAAAACAAGAUAAAAAAUCCAAAAAAUCCUAACCUACCAGCAGACUACCCUAGCCAUAAUAACAAAAAAAAAACAAACACAAAACAAAAACAAAAAAGGAGAAGUUAGAUCUGGAAAAAUGAGUGAGAGGGGGGUUUAAGGGUAAAGAAAAAAGUUUUUUUUCGAGUAGGGGAGAAUCGGAAGGGAGACCUACAACAAGGGAGGCCUACCGACAGAAAGUUGAAGAAGGAAGAAGGAGAGAAAAGAAGAUAGGAGAUCUACCGGGCGAGAGAGAAAUACAGAAGAGAAAGCCGAAGGAGAGGGAAAGAGAGGGAUCGGCUGGCCAAAGGGGAAGUUGAAGAGAGAAAGAAAUGAAAAAGAAGAAAAAGAAGAAAAGAAAAAGUUAGGGAGAGGAUAGAGAGAGUGACGGCUAGAGAGAGAAAAAGAGAGCCAAAAAUGAAAGAGGAAGAAGAAAAUAAGGUUUAAAUACCUAGGGCUUGAGGGCCAAAACGACGUCGUUUUGUGUUGUCUUUGGGUGUUUGAAUUAGCACUAAACGGUGCGUGCAGGAGAAGAAGCUGGUGGUUUAUGGGAAUUUGCUGGUUACGGAUUAAAGCUUACCAGGCCCACUAUCUUUUCUCAGCACCAGGCCCAUCUAUUAGGCCACCUAAAGGCUUUGCUACACCUUGGAAAAAAAAAAAAGAGCCCACACAAGGUAAGACAUUUCUUCUCUUUUUGGGUUNCACAUGUUUCAUAUAAUUUACUAAUUAUUAAAUUAAUAAAAACACACAAAUAAUAAAAUUUAAAUUUAAAUAAUUAAAAACAAAUAUCUCAAAUAUAAUUAAUAAUUUUAUAAGUUAUAAGUUUUGUAAUGUUAAUAAAAAAUAGAAACUAAAUAUGUUUAUAUUUAAAGUGUAUACAUACUAAAAGUAUUUUAGUAUAUAUAUAAUGGUAAGUAUAUUUCUUAUAAAUAAACCUAAUGUAUAAAAAGUAUAUAUAUUAAAAGACAUUACAAGUUAAUAAAUAAUCUAAGUUUCAUUAAUUAAUUUAAUUAAUUAUAUGAAUUUGUCCUUAAUUACAUAAAAUUAAAAAAAUAACUAAGUUUCAAAUCUCACAACUUUUCUUUAGAUUUAUAUAUUAUAAGUGUAUAUAAACAAAUGUAUAUAUAUUGUAAUUAAUAAUUUUAUAAUUUAUAUAUUUUUGUAAUGUUAACACAAAAUAGAGAGUAAAUAUGUUUAUAUUUAAAGUACAUACAUAUAUACUAAAAGUAUUUUAAUAUAUAUAAUAGUAAUUAUAUUCCUUAUAAAUGAACUUAAUAUAUAUAAAGUAUAUAUAUUAAAAGACAUUAUAUGUUAAUUAAUAACUAUAGUUUCAUGAAUUAAUUUAAUUAAUUAUAUAAGUUUGUCCUGAAUUACAGGAAAUUAAAAAAAAUAACUAGGUUUUAAAACUAUUCAAAUUUCACAAUUCCUCUUUAGGUUUAUAUAUUAUAAGUAUAUAUAAAUAAAGGUAUAUAUAUUAUAAUUAAUAAUUUUAUAAAUUAUAAUUUUUUUUAAUAUUAACACAAAAUAGAAAAUAAAUAUGUUUGUAUUUAAAAUAUAUAUUAAAAUAUUUUAAUAUAUAUAGUAGUAAUUAUAUUUCUUAUAAAUUAACACAAUAUAUAAACUAUAUAUAUUAAAAAAUAUUACAAAUUAAUUAAUAAUCAUAUUUUUAAAAUGGCUAAGGGAACAUUGUUGGUACAUUACAGUCUGGCUAUCAAAAGUCUCAAUGUCGAUCAAUUUCUGAAAUUUCUUUUGGUUCAUGAUUGUGCUUUUUUUAAUGGUCAGGAAAAUUCUAAAUACCCUGUACCAUCUGAUAAUGCAUGUGAAUAUACAGCUUGAACUUGAAACCCUUGGAAUAUAUCAAAUAAAAAUAAUAUAAAAACUAGCAUUAAAAGUCUUAAAGUGGGAGCUUCCUUUUCAUUGAUGCUCCUUUUUUCAUCCCAAUUCUGUUAAGUGUGGUACUUUUGGUUGAUACCUGCUCUUAUCCACCUUACGAUUCUCACAAAAACUUUUCUUUUUUCUUUUGGGGUGCCACUAAAAGUGCAAAGGUGACGAUUGUGUUCAUAAUUGGGCAGCAUUUCGGGCUGGGACAAAGAAUGAAAACAUUGAGUGGUGCAUAAAGCCGUUGGCUUGGGAUUUAGUGAUACUUAUUGUCAUAACGUGAGGGUCCGAGAAUCCAAUCACUAGACGUGAACGAAAAUAAAAUAUCUAGGAGUCGUCGUUAAUCUUUUUUUUAUUUAGGUGUGAUUGGCCACCUAUUAACCCUAUUAUAAUUAAUGAAGUUCUAAUUUAAUUUUAGAUCUAUUGACAGAACGAGAACUGAUCCACGUUUUUUAGAUAUAGGUUUAGGAGUGCGGUUACGCAUGGAGAAGGGUUAGCACCUUCGUGACGCCCGUUCCACAAACGAUACCAUUUAAUCUUAAGUUAUCAUAUUGAAGCCUACCUUGAUUUUAUUCCUGUGUUUCCUUAAUCCUUUUUAUUAAUUAAUUCUUUGUUAUGUUAUCUGCUUGAAUCUUUUAGUCGGUUUUACGGAUGCACAUGACGCAGUCAUAAAAUGAUGUUAUGAUUUGUCGAAUUUUAAAUGAUGAGGUCGGCAAUCUUUUAUUGAAAAAUCAUUCGUAGAUCAUCCCAGCGCUUUGGUGAAGUUUCGAAGUUUUUCUCACCUAGGGAUAUCCCGAGAAAGACUCGUCUCUGUGAGCUCUUCGAGAAAAUCCCAUCAUCGAAAUUUUAACCCCAACAGCAAGAUAUAUGUGGUAUGCUAUGACAGUAUAAAAAUGAUGAUAUCGACAUGACCAUGUUUAUUAAUUAGUUGGUUGGUAAUAAUAACAUGUUUAAUAAUUUAAGGUGAUUUAUUACCUUAUUUAUAUAUAUUUUUAUUAUUAUUAUUAUUAUUUAUGUAUAUUAUUUUAAACAACAAUUAUUUGGACUAAUGGGUAUCGGAGUAUAGAAUUCGAAUUUAUCCCGACGCUUCAAUGAAAAUUCAUCUCGAACUCCGUACCUAAGAAAUCCACUGGAAAGAGGCAAUUCUUUGCCCUUUUUAGGUGAAGUUCUAUCAUCGGAUCAACUCAAAUUAACCGCUUGAUUUUUUUUAUAUUUGUAAUUUAAUAUUAUAUUGUACAUUCUAUAUAUUUAUAAAUAGCUAGAUCAAUUUUGUAAUACUUUAUUCUCAUUUUUUAUUUCUUUUCAUUUUUUUAGACCCAUUUCUAUUAUUUAUUAAUUAUUUUAUACAUAUUUAAAAAAAACUAAGUACUUUCUAAUCUUCCAUUUAAUUAAUUAAUUUUUUUUACCUUGUUCAUUCACCUAUUUUUUGUUAUAUGUUCAUAUAUAUAUUUAUACAUGCAUAUCUAUUAAUUUACUACAUUUACUAUCUAUUGUAUUAAAUAUUUUCAUUUUUAGCUUUCAUAUGUUUUAUUUUUCAUGUGCAUAAAUUUCAAACAACACCAAAAAUAAUAAAACUAUUAUAACACUUAAACAAGAAAUUAAAUAACCAUUUUCAGUAGUUCAAGCCCAAACCAUUAUUUAAUGAAUAAAUCCAAUACCUAUUGGGUUGUAACUAACCCACUGCUUCAAAUGGGUUCAAGCUCCACUAGGCUUCAAAGGUCCCCUCCAAUUCGGUUUGGGCCCAAAGGGUCUGCUGCACUUGUUUUUUUUCUGAUUUGGGCUUGAAUAGUUCAAGAAUGCCUUAGCCCAAGGAGGAUAUCAAGCUUGCCGCAACAAGCCACUUAAUCCUCUUCAAUGUGCGUCGUUUUUGGCUUUCAAAAAUGCUUCAAACGACGUCGUUUUGAUCUCUUAUACCUGGGUAUAAAAGCUUCUUUUCUUUUCUCUCUCUUCACUUUCCUCUCUCACUUUCUCUCUCUUGCCACAAUUCUCUCAAUCUUCUCCUUAAGCUUUUCUUUUUUUUCUUUUCUUCUUCUCUCUUUUUUUUUUCUUUCUUUCUUGGCUCGCAGAUCUCCCUCCUCUCUCUUUCUCCCAGCUUCUUCCCCUCUCUUUUGCCGCCGGCGUCCCUUCUCCUCCACCGACCAGAUCUGGGUCUCCAAGACCUUUUUUUUUUUUUCUGCUUUCUCCUUUUUUACUUUUUGUGUUUUUUUGUUGUGAUUUUGGUUUUUUUAGUGCUUGUGGUUAGGUAUUUAAGCUGGUAGAUCUUAGGAUUUUUUUGUUUCUAAAAAUCUGUGUUGUUUUUUUUUUGUGUUCUUGAUUGUUGGAUUUUUUUUGAAGAAGAUGGAGUUUUUUUUUUUAAUCCGAUUUUUCUUUUCCAAAAAUCCCCCCUCAGCCUCAGAUUUUUCAAGGUUCUUUUAGAACCCAAUUGUCUAAAUCUUUGGACAAUCAUGAUCUUGGCAACACUAAUUCUGGAUGGGUAACCUUCAGGUCAAAAAAAAUUCACCAAAAAUGAAAUCAAAUCUCAGCUGCCAGAAGAGCAUUGAAUGCUCUGUAUUUUGUUGACAAUGAAGGCUAAGCGUGCUUCCAGCGUUUUUUUUUUAAUUUUGAUUUUUUAAUUUUUUAUUUAUUAUUAUUGUUUUUAUUUUAUUAAAAAGAAGUGUCUACACUUACACAGUAGGUGAGUUGACAACACUAAUAUGUAUACAAAGAAAUGUUGUUUUUUUGCUCGUGGUUCAUUUGGGUACAGAGAUGGUUCAGAACAGAUUGCUCUAUUUGACAGUUGUCUUUAUUCUUUUGGAGGGGGACAUGGAACAUGUGCAUGCAGUCACCAGCAACUAUUGAUCUACUAGAGAGAAGAAGUGAUCCUGCAAAUUUUUAGCUUAGGAGAUAAAUGUAUACAAAGAGUGCUAAUAAUCCGUACAGAUUGACCUAUUAGCCUGGCAAAUUUCUCUUUGUAAAUUAAUAUAAAGUUUUCAUAGGAUAAGAUGAUGAAAAUAAGGAUAAUAUGAUGAAAAUAAAAUAAUCUGAUACAAGUAUGUAAUCCAAAGAAGCCCCAGAAAGUGUCAACCUUUGGAUGCUAUCCAUAAAUGGAACAAAAAACUUAGAAAACAAUUCAACCUUGCCAUGAAUCUGUGAUCUGCAAACCCAUGUUAGCUUGAAGAUUCAUGGGAAAUAGACACGUUUCUUCUCCUCAAUUCGUUCAAUUUUGCAAUAUGCAUUGUCAAGUUCUUCUUAUGUCUGCUUGUCUACAACAUGUCCAGAUUUGAAGCUGAGUUCAGUGCAAUUGCAGACCCAGAGAUGAAUCUUUUUCCAUUUAUGGAGAUUAGGGAAUUCCAUUGGUGUAGAAAAGAUGCUAUGUUGUCAAUUGAGCUUGAUAAAUUAUGGCUAGACCGACAUAAAUCAAACUUUGGAGAAUGAUUACAAAUAGAUGAUCAUAUACCCUUUAAUUUUUCUAAAAAAAAUAUAAGGGCAAAUUAAAUAACACAAACUUAAUUAUUUCUUCAAUUUUAUGAAAAAAAAAAAGAAAUAUUGUUAUCAUAGAAAAAGCUAUGCUACCUAUUCUUUUAUGACUAAAAUUACUAUAACAAUUCGUAACCGAACUUCGAUAAUUGAUGCAUCUAUUUAUUAUUUAAAAAAAUAAAUUUGAAUUAUUUUAAAUAAUAAAAAAAUUAUAGAGACAUUUGAAUUUUCAUUUGUUGAACAUUUGAAUGAAAUUUCAAAUUAAAUAAAGUACAAUAACCAUUACUAUCGAAAUAAAUCAAAACUUGAUAGAUUCACGAGAUGUGAAACAAACAGAUACUUUAUUUAUAUAUAGAGCAUACAAAAUUACACACUUUAUUUACUUAUCAUACAAACUUAAUUUUACAUCACUUAGGAAGACAAACUCACAAAUACUAAUAUUAAUUUGGUACAAAACUAUUUUUAAUUUUUUAUUUUUCAAGAUUUUUUUUUCUAUUUUUAAUCUUAUCAUGAGAAACCUGCAAAUCUUGGAUACAUACCCUACGUCCACAUCCCGUAAAUAUAUAUACAUAGCUUGAGUUCUAGAUUAUUCAGGCUCCCACCUUCUAGGAGUUGAGAGUGAAAGCCAUCCACCUAAGGUUUUGCUUGCUGGGUCUGGUCUUUCGGGGGCUCUGCUGUCUUGUUCCUAGGUCCGACAAAUGCCUGGAUCAAGCAUGGAGGCUCAGGUUCCCUGUUUUUCAACUUAACCAACAGCUGGAUCAAGCACCGCAAAAUUAAAGGCGCAGCAGCUGUGAUCAAGGCGAGUUGAAAUUUGUCUUCAUCUCCGGUAACAGCAAAGAUUGCAGAUCCAUAAGUUAUAAUCAUUGAAACGCCAGCAACCCUUACUUCAAACUUGAAAGGAAAAUUAUGCGUGAGAGACAUAAUGACAAGUACCGCUGCAGAAAAGGCUAGGGUGUUGGAAGUCAAGAAAACGUAGUAGGCAUCUGAGUCAGAUGCACAGAUAGCAGUGCCUGCCGUAUGGUAAUCGUUGGUUUCCUGCCAUACACCGCCAGGGGGGUUAACCCCAGCUUGGAAGGUCACGGCAGCUAUAAGGGUCGCAACUACCAAGAGAGCGUUGCGGGCGUCGGCUCUAUUCUUAUCCCUGUCCUCCUCGUUUGCACCUUCCUUGUACUGAAAAUAACGACACCAGUCCUUGAAAGUAGUCCCAACCAUUGUUUUCUCUUGGGUUUUGAACUACAAACAGGAUUCAAGAAUUGAAGAAGCUUUUUGUUUAUGGGGAUAUGAAGAAAAACAAAGUAGUAGAUGGAUUUCUCCAGAAAAGCUUGGGGUUUGGCUGAGUCUUAAUUCAGCUUUUUAUAGUUCGCAACAGUAUCAAUCCCGUGACAAAUAUGAAGACAAUUCACUGUUCUUUUUCUAUAUUUGCAUGAUUAUGUUUGGACAAAAUGAGGAGUAGAUUCCUAUCUCAUCUUUGGACAUUGAUUAUGAUUACGUCUGUUAAUUAAUUAAUAAUUUAGUUUUCUUCAACCUUGUCAAUGUUGUUAAUUAGGACAAAAACCUGAUAGGCACUUCCACUUCCACUGCCAAGAUACGUCUGUAUGAUUUGUAUUUCUCAAUUUAAUGGCAUCAUCUUCCUUUUUGGUCAAUGUAGGGAAGAAGAUUACAUAAUCAUGCAUUUCUAGUUUAUAUAAGUAUAUAUUUAAUAUUUUAAUAAGUCUUAUUAUCUAAAAUUUCAGUAACACAGUAUUACUGAAUACCCAUAAAUAAAGGGUUAUUUACGAAAUACGUAUAAAAAUUCAAUAAUUAUAUGAUAUUUCGGUAAGUAAGUAUCUAAUCAUUAUUUUACGUAAUAAAGUAUCUAAUAUUUCAAUAAUUUUAUUUACUCAUGUUUUUCAUAUAAGUUAUUGAUAAAGCAUGUUCAUGGUGACUAAAUAAUAUAUGAAAAAUAAGAAAAAUAAUCAUUCAUUUCAAAGUUAGUAAAAAAUUAUUUGAGUUUAAAAUGUGUUUUUAUCAUCAUUUGUUCAAUUCUCGUUCGAAUAUAAGAUUCAAAAAUCGAAAAUAUUAGAAAAAAGUAAAUAUCAAUUAUAUAAUUAAUCAAAUAUAAAUUUUUUUAAUAAUAAUGAUAAUUUUAUUUAUAAUUGAAAAUAACAUGAUCAUAUAGUUAAUUUUACUGUCCUUAACAAAUCAGCUAUAGGCCCUUAUCAAUAUUACAAUUACAUUUUAACAUCAACAUCCAUUGCAAUCAAAAAUUCAAAUAUUUUUCGAUAACAGAAUACAGAAAAUUCCUACAAAGAAGAAUAACACUUACUUGAUUAAAAAUCAAAUAAACUUCAAGAUUUUAAAAAUAAAGAACAAGUUAUUAUAUAUGUUGGCAAGAUAACAAUUACCAGAGGAGUAAAAUUCUAAGGUACUGAAUCAAUUCAUGGUACAAAGAGGAGCCACAUUCUGAAUUCCAAGUCGAUUUCCGUUCGUCUCCAAUGCUUUCGCCUUGUAUCUGGACCAACUCUCCAUUUCUUGAACAACCGUAUGGUAAACCGUGCAAACUCCUCAAGAAAUCGAAUUCCCAUCACAGUGACCGUGUUACAUAGAUCACUUAUUUUCGUUGGACGUAUAUAGCUAAUAGCUACGACGUAAGUAGCAAUCAUUGAAAACAUGGCCAGCCGAAAGCCUGCCCUGGGAGGCAUGGGCGGACCCAUGUAUAUGUGUGUGGUGUCACAUGACACCACUCAAUUUAAAAGAAUAUUUAUUUAUUAUAUUAUUUUUUAGAGUUUAUAUAUUUAAUAAUACUAUAAACUUAUUAUUUUUUUAUAAUUUUGUAAAAAGUGUGUUCAAAAAGUAAAUUUUAUUAAAAAAUUUAUAUAUUAAUAAUAUUUAAAUAUUUUUUAAAAAAAUAUUUAAAUAUUAUCAAAAAGUAAAUUUAUCAAAAAAUAAUUUAUAUAUUAAUAUUUAAAUUCUACAUGAAAAAUUAAAAUAUUUUUUUUAUAAUUUAAAAUUUUAUUAAAAAAGUCAAAACCUAAACUACUCUCACUCUUCAAAAAUUUUAAUCUUAUUAUUGAGACUUACAGUGACUUUCUUCUUUUCUAUAAUUGAUUGUGUUUUUCAUUUUCUUAAAGUAACUCAACUAAAUUUUAAUUGUAAAAAAUUUUUAAACCAAGUUAAGUUUUUAAAUAUUUCAUGUUUAAAUAUUUGUUGAUUAAUUUGAUAGUUUGGAUUCAUAAUUAUAUUCUUGAAAUUAUUAGUCUUUUUUUUUAUUUUGUAGAUAUUAAUUAUUUGAUUUUUGUAUUUUACUUUAUGUGGUUUGUAGAUUAUUAUAUUUAGUUUUGAUUAAUAAAUAGAAAUUUGUUUUAUUAUUAGUUGUUGAACUUGAUAAUUUGCUACGUAAGAUUAUAUUUUGUUUAAUUCUAAUAUUUUAGUUUAUGGUAAUGAGUAGUAAUUUUUAACAAGGUUUUAUAAUUUUAAAUAAAUAAGCCAUGGAAAGAUAUUUUACAAGAAAAAAAAAAUUAUUUCACAAGAAUCAGAUCCCGAGCAACAACAACAAAAUUCUACUAACGAUUUUAGUCAACAAUCGUCUAAGUAAAGUUGUGUUGAAUUUGAUUUAAAUACUCUUCUGACAUAUCCUGAAUUGAGAAAUUUUUUUUUGAGUAUCAUGAUCAAAAUGAAAUUAGAAGAGCAUAUUUGCAGAAAGGGUCACUGAUACUAUCAUACCAUGUUUUCACAAUAUGAAAAAUUGUCAUGGAUAAUUAUAGGUUUUUAGAUAUUUUUAUUUUGAAGUAUUAAAUGAAUAUAUUGAAUUUACAUUUUUCUUAAUUUAAUGUUAAAAUUUUUAUUUUAUGAAUUUUAACAUAUUUAUUUUUUUACUUAGUAUUUUAAUUAUAACACCACUCAAGAAAAUUCUUGAGUCUGCCCCUGCUAAGAGGGAAUCCACUGGUGAGGAGAAAGGUCAUGGCAACUGAUGCAAUGAAACCAAUUGAAUUAAAACCGAUGAACACAGAAAAGAUUGGAGGGUUUUUACUCAUGACAGCCUCUCCGAGUGUCAUGGUUCUAGAUCUCUUCUGAACGACGUGGGUGCCGACGGUCGUAGAAUUUUUACUCUCUGCUAACCAAAAACCACUUGGUGGGCUCAGAAUUGCUUGGUAUGUGAUCGUUGCUAUCAGGACUGGCACAACCAUUAAUGAGUUUUUAGUUUCACUUGAUGAUUCCGUAACCUCUUUCAUCAGUUCCUUCCAUAGGUUCCAUGAACAACAAGAUCGCAAUAUUUGCUCGUUGUUAAGGCUUUCUGCUUUGGUUUGGAUAUGAGCAGGGCCUGUUGUGAUUUCUUGGGCUUUCACAGCUCCAGCUUGCUGAAACAUCUGAUAAAUAUGAAUAUCAUACAAAUCACCUCCACUUUGGAGCAGAAGAUCUAGGACAUCCUUCGGCGUAAAGCCGUUUGAGGUUAUGGCAUUUGCGUUAACCCUGGAAACCACUGCUUCUUGACCAAUUAACAGAGCUAUAAUCUGCAAAUGAUAUACAUCCAUAAUUUACAACUUCUGUAAAGGAUUCAAUGUGGAAUUAAACAUAACUUUUUAGAAAAUAUCGACAACGCAAUCAGUACAAUCUAUUCUUCCUUAGAAUUUAGGGUAGUCUAGGAAUUAAAGAGAAUUUAAUUAGAAUAACAGGCUUUGGACUCUAGCAUGAUCAAAACUAGGAUUUAGUCGCUCAUCUACUUCAACUUAUACGUGACAUCUUUCCGCAACCAGAACGCUGUAGAAGAAAUGUAGUUUGGUAUUUAUUACAUUUCCAAUUAAAUAAUGAUUUGCAUAAGUUUAUUGAUAAUUAAAGUUAAAUUUCAUUUGUCGAGAAAGUAAUGAAAGAUUUUUAAUUUUAACUUUGAUUUACAAGUUAAUAAAUAAUCAUAAUUUUAUUAAUUAAUUUAAUUAAUUAUAUAAAUUUAUCUUUAAUUAUAGGAAAUUGAAAAAAAAAAUAGGUUUCAAAUCUCACGAUUUCUUUUUAGAUUUAUAUAUUAUAUGUGUAUAUAAACAAUGGUAUAUAUAUAUUGUAAUUAAUAAUUUUAUAAAUUAUAAUUUUGUAAUGUUAACACAAAAUAAAAAAUAAAUAUGUUUACAUUUAAAGUACAUAUACAUAUAUAUACUAAAAGUAUUUUAAUAUAUACAAUAGUAAUUAUAUUCUUUAUAAAUGAACUUAAUAUAUAACGAAUAUAUAUUAAAAGACAUUAUAUGUCAAUUAAUAAUUAUUGUUUCAUGAAUUAAUUUAAUUAACUAUAUGGAUUUGUCCUUAAUUACAAAAAAUUAAAAAAAAAAAUAGGUUUCAAAACUAUUUUAAUUUCACAAUCUCUUUAGGUUUAUAUAUUAUAAGUAUAUAUAAAUAAAUGUAUAUAUAUAUAUAUUAUAAUUAAUAAUUUUAUAAAUUAUAAUUUUUUUAAUGUUAACAUAAAAUAGAAAGUAAAUAUGUUUAUAUUUAAAAUAUAUAUUAAAAUAUUUUAGUAUAUAUAUAAUAGUAAUUAUGUUUCUUAUAAAUUAACACAAUAUAUAAACUAUAUAUAUUAAAAGACAUUAGAAGUUAAUUAAUAAUCAUAGUUUUAUAAAUUAAUUUAAUUAACUAUAUGAAUUUGUCUUUAAUUUCAUGAAAUUAAAAAAAAUUAAAUUCCAAAACUAUUCUAAUCUCAAAAGCUCUCUUUAAUUAUAUAUAUUAUAAGUUUAUAUAAACAAUAGUAUAUAUAUUAUAAUUAAUAAUUUUAUAAGUUAUAAUUUUUAUAAUGUUAACACAAAAUAAAAAAUAAAUAUAUUUAUAUUAAAAGUAUAUAUAUAAUAGUAAUUAUAUUCCUUUAUAAUGUAAUAUAAUAUUCAUAUUAUUUGAAUAUAAUAAAUAAUGUAAUAAUUUUUUAAUUUAAAUCUAUUAAUGUCAUCACAUUAAUAAUUAGAGUAAUCAUACUUUGAUAUCUUUGUUAGUUUUUAACAAAAAGAAUUGCUUGUAAAAUUAGUAAAAUUGUAUAUUUUUAAUUAUAUUAUUAAAAUAAUAAAAAAUAUUUUAUAAAUGAUAAUCGAGUUUGGGUAAUGGAUGUUCAAUGAGUGGUACUUGAACUGUAUCCGAAUCCGAUACGGAUAGUAAAAUCAUUACCUGAAUCUGUCUCAAACACGAUUACAAGAUACUCCAAUUUUAUAUAACUGGAUCGAGUAUUCACAAGUAUCUUAUAAUAAGGUACCCAUUACUAUCUCUAACCAAAAUCAAAGUCUUGAUUUCAGUGCCUUAAAACAACUAAAACAACGGACUGAACUAAAUACAUAAGCUAAUAUCGCAUUACAAAAGAAAGAACAAUAAAAUAAACAAAAAGACAAACAAGGCUUUAAAAACAAGUUAAAUGCACGAACAUUGUUCGCUAUCAAAAUGGCUAAGCGAACAUUGUUCAUACAUUACAGUCUGGCUAUCAAAAGUCUCAUUGUCGAUCAAUUUCUGAAAUUUCUUUUAGUUGAUGAUUGUGCCUUUUUUAGUGGUCAGGAAAAUUCUAAAUACCCUGUAACAUCUGAUAAUGCAUGUGAAUAUACUGCUUGAACCUGAAACCCUUGGAAUAUAUCAGAUAAAAACAAUAUAAAAACUAGCAUUAAAAGUCUGACAGUGGGAGUUUCCUUUUCAUUGAUGCCCCUUUUUCCCCCCAAUUCUGUUAAAGGUGAUGCUUUUGGUUGAUACUUGCUCUUAUCCACCUUAAGAUUCUCACAGAAACUUUUCUUUUUUCUUUUGGUGUGCCACUAAAAGUGCAGAGGUGACGAUUGUGUUCAUAAUUGGGCAGCAUUUCGGGCUGGAACAAAGAAUGAAAACAUUGAGUGGUGCGUAGAGCCCCUAGCCUGGGAUUUAGUGAUACUUACAAAGUAGGUGAGUUGACAACACUAAUUUGUACACAAAGAAAUAUUGUUUUUUUGCUCGUGGUUCAUUUGGGUACAGAGAUGGGUCAAAACAGAUUGCUCUAUUUGACAGUUGUCUUUAUUCUUUUGGAGGGGGACAUGGAACAUGUGCAUGCAGUCACAAGCAACUACUGAUCUGCUGGAGAGAAUAAGUGAUCUUGCAAAUUUUUAGCUUAGGAGAUAGAUGUAUACAAAUAGUGCUAAUAAUCCGUACAGAUUGUCCUAUUAGCCUGUUAAAUUUCUCUCUGUAAAUUAAUAUAAAGUUUUCAUAGGAUAAGAUGAUGAAAAUAAGGAUAAUAUGAUGAAAAUAAAAUAAUCUGAUACAAGUAUGUAAUCCAAAGAAGCCCUAGAAAAUGUCAACCUUUGGAUGCUAUCCAUAAAUGGAACAAAAAACUUAGCAAACAAUUCAACCUUGCCAUGAAUCUGUGAUCUGCAAACCCAUGUUAGCUUGAAGAUUCAUGGGAAAUAAACGGGUUUCUUCUCCUCAAUUCGUUCAAUUUUGCAAUAUGCAUUGUCAAGUUCUUCUUAUGUUGCUUGUCUACAACAUGUCCAGAUUUGAAGCUGAGUUCAGUGCAAUUGCAGACCCAGAGAUGAAUCUUUUUCCAUUUAUGGAGAUUAGGGAAUUCCAUCGGUGUAGAAAAGAUGCUAUGUUGUCAAUUGAGCUUGAUAAAUUAUGGAUAGACCGACAUAAAUCAAACUUUGGAGAAUGAUUACAAAUAGAUGAUCAUAUACGCUUUAAUUUUUUUUCAAAAAAUAUAAGGACAAAUUAAAUAACACAAACUUAAUUAUUCCUUCAAUUUUAUGAAAAAAAAAAGAAUAUUGUUACCAUAGAAAAAGUUGUGCUACCUAUUCUUCUAUGACUAAAAUUACUAUGACAAUUCGUAACCGAACUUCAAUAAUUGAUGCAUCUAUUUUUUAUUUAAAAAAAUGAAUUCAAAUUUUUUUAGAUAAUAAAAAAAUUAUAGAGAUAUUUGAAUUUUUAUUUGUCCGAACAUUUGAAUGAAAUUUCAGAUUAAAUAAAAUACAAUAAUUAUUACUGUCGAAAUAAAUCAAAACUUGAUAGAUUCACGAGAUGUGAAACAAACAGGUACUUUAUUUAUAUAUGGAACAUACAAAAUUACACACUUUAUUUACUUAUUAUACAAACUUAAUUUUACAUCACUUAGGAAGACAAACUCACAAAUACUAGUAUUAAUUUGGUACAAAACUAUUUUCAAUUUUUUAUUUUUUCAAGAUUUUUUUUUCUAUUUUUAAUCUUAUCAUGAGAAACCGGCAAAUCUUGGAUACAUACCCUAUGUCCACAUCCCGUAAAUAUAUAUAUAGCUUGAGUUCUAGAUUAUUCAGGCUCCCACCUUCUAGGAGUUGAGAGUGAAAACCAUCCACCUAAGGGUUUGCUUGCUGCGUCUGGUCUUUCGGGGGCUCUGCUGUCUUGUUCCUAGGUCCGACAAAUGCCUGGAUCAAGCAUGGAGGUUCAGGUUUCCUGUUUUUCAACUUAACCAACAGCUGGAUCAAGCACCGCAAAAUUAAAGGCGCAGCAGCCGUGAUCAAGGCGAGUUGAAACGUUUCUCCAUCCGGGGUAACAGCAAAGAUUGCAGAUCCAUAAGUUAUAAUCAUUGAAACGCCAGCAACCCUUACUUCAAACUUGAAAGGAAAAUUAUGCGUGAGAGACAUAAUGACAAGUACCGCUGCAGAAAAGGCUAGGGUGUUGGAAGUCAAGAAAACGUAGUAGGCAUCUGAGUCAGAUGCACAGAUAGCAGUGCCUGCUAUAUGGUCAGCCUUGGUUUCCUGCCAUACACCGCCAGGGGGGUUAACCCCAGCUUGGAAGGUCACGGCAGCUAUAAGGGUCGCAACUACCAAGAGAGCGUUGCGGGCGUCGGCUCUAUUCUUAUCCCUGUCCUCCUCGUUUGCACCUUCCUUGUACUGAAAAUAACGACACCAGUCCUUGAAAGUAGUCCCAACCAUUGUUUUCUCUUGGGUUUUGAACUACAAACAGGAUUCAAGAAUUGAAGAAGCUUUCUGUUUAUGGGGAUAUGAAGAAAAACAAAGUAGUAGAUGGAUUUCUCCAGAAAAGCUUGGGGUUUGGCUGAGUCUUAAUUCAGCUUUUUAUAGUUCGCAACAGUAUCAAUCCCGUGACAAAUAUGAAGACAAUUCACUGUUCUUUUUCUAUAUUUGCAUGAUUAUGUUUGGACAAAAUGAGGAGUAGAUUCCUAUCUCAUCUUUGGACAUUGAUUAUGAUUACGUCUGUUAAUUAAUUAAUAAUUUAGUUUUCUUCAACCUUGUCAAUGUUGUUAAUUAGGACAAAAACCUGAUAGGCACUUCCACUUCCACUGCCAAGAUACGUCUGUAUGAUUUGUAUUUCUCAAUUUAAUGGCAUCAUCUUCCUUUUUGGUCAAUGUAGGGAAGAAGAUUACAUAAUCAUGCAUUUCUAGUUUAUAUAAGUAUAUAUUUGAUAUUUUAAUAAGUUUUACUAUCUAAAAUUUCAGUAACACAGUAUUACUGAAUACCCAUAAUUAAAAGGUUAUUUAAGAAAUACGUAUAAAAAUUAAAUAAUUAUAUGAUAUUUCGGUAAGUAAGUAUCUAAUCAUUAUUUUACGUAAUAAAGUAUUUAAUAUUUCAAUAAUUUUAUUUACUCAUGUUUUUCAUAUAAGUUAUUGAUAAAGCAUGUUCAUGGUGACUAAAUAAUAUAUGAAAAAUAAGAAAAAUAAUCAUUCAUUUCAAAGUUAGUAAAAAAAUAAAUAAAAGUUAGGAAAAAUAAUCAUAUUUUUAAAAUUAAUGUUUUUUCUUACCAAAAUUAUUUUAAAAGUUACAGAAAUCAUAUAUUAUUAAAUUUUUACAUAAUGUUAUUAACAAAGAAUAUAUUAUAAGCAAGGUGGACUGAAAAUAGUGGCAGGAUCGUAGCAGUCACUUUCAAUUUUUAAUUUUUAUUCCGAAUCGAAUUAUUAACUCGAUUUAUAAUUUUAUAAAAUUAUUUUUUAAAUAAAAUCUUAAAUUCGUCAUUAAUUAUAAAUUUAAUAAAUCUCAUGUAAUUGACUUCAAUUAUUGCUAGCGUGCAUGUGAAUAGUGGAAAUCCGGAUGACCUUGACUUAAAACGCCAGUCUUCAUACCUAAAGCAUGGUUAUCCUACCCAUAAUCCAUAAGACGAGACAAAAGCCGUUUUGGAGUCAUUGUUUUAUCAUAAGGACUAGCUGUGCGUUGUCCGACUUUGAAUUGCCGGGGCCUUUUUUAAUUUGUUUUCGUUGAUGACGUGUUUGAGCUUACGUCAGCCAUAUGACUUCUCUUUCGAGGGCUUCGUCUUACGUCAGCAUUGCAUUGCAUUGCAUGAUGUCCAGGUUGUCAUUGACUGAGGUGUUUUUUCUUUACCGUCCAGGUUGUCAUUUGAUUUAGUUUAGUGGUUGUUUUGAAAAUAUAGUUCAUUUUGCUGCCAAAAGAUGUCCUCAAUUAUGUUUUGCUUUUUGGAAAAAAAAAAAAAUUUACUACCAUAGGCAUAUUUUAUUAGGUUAAAAUGAAGAAGAAUUAAGGUUAAAAUUUUUUAAAAUUAAUAUAUUGAAUUUAAUCAACAAUUUUUUCAGAAUUGAGCUUGGAUGUUUUGAUUUUCAUUGCUUUUGUUUAUGAGUUGAAGCAUUCAGAUUUAGUGAAUCAUGUGUAGGAAGAUCAUUUGAAUGAUUUUCAUUAUUUUUUUAAAAAAAAUUAUCAAUUGUUUUCAACUUACUCAUACUUUAAUUAAAUCUGAAAAAAAAAUUUAAUAUAGUCAAUAUUUAAUAUUCUUGUUUUAUUUCUAUUUAAAUUUAAAAUAUUAAAUAUAAAACUAUAAUAUAUAAAAUAUAAAUAGUUAAAUACAAUAUACAGAAUUUCACAUAAUGAUUAAAUAAUAUAAAUAAUUAAAUAAUAUAAAUAAAAAAAAUAAAAAAAAAACUCUACUUUUUCUUAAUUUCACACAAUAGUGGUGAGUAGUCACUUUUUCUUUUGUUCAAACUUACGAGCUAAUAAAUUUUUUUUGAAGAAAGAAGUAUGUUUCAAUGUUGAGUUCCACAUAAGAGAGUAAAAUAAGAAUAAAAGAGAAUAGGAAAAGAAAAAGAAAGAAAGAGAAAGAGUUAGAGAGAAACAUAAAAAUUAAGAUAAAGUUGAAUAAGGUUUGUAGAAUUAAUUUAUUAUUUAUAUUAAUUAUUAAAUAAAAUAAUUAUUUUAAAAGAAUUAUUUAAAAAAUAUAUAAUAAAAAAAUAAAUUUAAAAAAUAUAUAAUAAAUAAAUAAUUUUAAAAUUUUAAAAAAACCACGCCCCACGCAGAUACAUUACCCUGGCCCCGAUCUGCUAGGCAAUGCAAGCAAUAGUUGAAAGUAUUCUCUAUAUUUUAUUAUUAAUUGACUUUCGGCUACCUGGAAAGCGGCAUAGCAGCCAAAUUAGAAUACCUGAAAGAUUUGAGUGGUAAAUUUUAUAAGGAACAGAAGGUGUGGAUACCAACGUAAUUGGUCUAAAUUCUCUUCAUCUUUUACGAAGGAUCGAAGCAAUAACCUUGGACUUUCAUGAGAAAGAAUAGAAGCCAAGAGCUUCUGUCCGUCCUGAGGCCUCUUUGGGGACUUCACCUAAUCUCAGCAGUGCAGGAUGGCUUUUCUUCUGGAAGCCAAUUUCCAGGCGGUUAGUUUUGAUUCCAUUAAAGGGGUUCUGCUCAUAGUCUGACGAGGCGUCGACUUUCAUUACCGUCCAGGUUCUCAUUGCUUGAAUUAGUUUAAGGAUUUUCUUUUAAUAAUAUAGUUUAUUAUUAUGUUUUGCUUUUUCCAAAAGAAAUGAAACCUAUUGUGAUUUACUACUAUAGUCAUACACGCAAUUUUUAACCUAUUGCAUUAGUCUUUGUUUGAGUUUAACAUGUGUUCUUAUCUUUAUUUGUACAGUUCGUGUUAGUCAUGUUUGGCUCAUUGGAAGUAUCAUAUCAUUCCAACAACAGUCUCACUAAAUAAUUGUUCUAAUAUUUAAUUCAUUCUUUUAUCAAAAAAAAUUAUUCUUCAAAAUUUAUAAUUUUUAAAAAUUUUAAAUAAUUCAGAUAUUAAUUAUUUCACACGAGUUAAAAUUCUUUUUACAAAAUCAUGAUUAAUUAAUGCUUCACAUUUAUGAUUUCUAUCACAAAUAAAACUUAAUUAUAGUAAUGGUAGUAUUAUUUAUGCGUCAUGCAUUAUUAGAGAAACUGAGAACAAUAAAAGUUGACAAGUAAAAAAAACUUGAGAUUGAAUGUGAUUGUCGAACGUGGUGAAAUGGGUUCUUAACCCAGCUAUGGUGCCAUGGAGGAUGAGAAAACUUUACAUCCAAAUCACAAAUUUGCUCAAGUAUGUAAGACAAUGGCGGAUAAACCACACUUUCGCCCAGCUAAUGAUGAUGUUGAUCUACUUGCGAAAGAGGGGUCUAACGGCCUCAACAGUUGCUGUGGGUUAAUCCUGAACCGCCUCCCAAUCAAGGUAUUGGGUCUAGGUAUGUGAUCGGGGAAUUGUAAAUAUCUUUGUUCUUGAUUCUUCCGAGUGAAUUCCUUGAUCUGUUGGGAUUUUUUUUGUUAGUUUACAGCUUGAUUGUUUGGGUAACAACAUUUCUAGUGUGGUUGUACUGAUCCUAGGUCACCGAGGGUUUGCUGUUCGCAAACAAUAUGUAUAGGUGAUUUUGAGAAGCAGAGAUAGGCCUUUUUGUAAUCCUGUUUUGCGUUCUGUAAUCAUCAAUAUUAUUAAUACAAACUACUGUAUGCAUUAAAAAAAACAUCGUCAUAUUAAAUAAUAAUUUUUUUAAAAAAAUAAUUUGAUUCAUAUUUACAUUUUUUUUUCUCGUAACGUAUGUGUCAUGAUCUCAUAAAAAAAUUGUGCAUUUCACGUCAACUAUGUGAUAAAGUGAAACUAGUCUCAACCUAUAUCUUAAAAAUUAGUAUAGACCACGUGAUAUAAUUUAUAAACAAAUGCUGAUUGGUUCUCCUUUAAGAGAGGUUAAUUAAUCAGACCAAUUCUCCACUUACCUGAAAGUCGGCAAGGUUUUUCUUGUUUCAACCUCAGAUUUUAUUAUAUGCUACAACUAGUCUUUAAUUUUGGUCAAAAAGACUUCUCUUGACAUAAAAGUUCUGAACAUUUUCUAAGCAAUUGAUUGUGUAUAGACUACUUUCCAAGCCCUUUACAUGUGCCAACAACAUGACCCCAUCCCAAUUACAAGAUCAACUUUGCUGAACAAUAAGAGGUCCUCGCUCUGUGGAACACGUGUCCGCAAGGUUAAUUAAUCGGACCAAUUUGACUCGAGAAACGCAGCCAUACAAAUGCUGUGGGCUGUAAGCAGAUGAAGCAAAUGCCUUUGUAUUCUGCACGGUUCUUGUUAUAUAACAUAGGAUUAGAAAUUCGAAAAUAUUAAAGAAAGGUUUAAAGCUUUAUUUGUCUUACUGUUAAUAUGCAAAGGUUCUUGUUAAUAACAUAGGAUUAGAAAAUCAAAAGUUUAAAAAAAAGUUUAAAGUUUUAUUAUCUUACUGUAAAUAAGUAAAAAAUUUACGAGUGAUAAAUCUCAAAAUUAUCUGUAUUUUAUAUUAAUAAUUAAUUCAGUAACACUUAUUAGUAAAUGAUAAGAUUACCUUAUUACAAUUCUAAUGUAUCCGUGACUACUAAGUUUGAAAGAGAUUCACGUUUCCACCAAGAAAAACAUCGAAGAAUAGUUGUUUUAAUAUUUAAUUAAUUUUAUUUUUUGAAGUUUGUACUUUUUAAAAUUUUUAAAUAAUUAAGAUAUUAACUAGGAGUAAAAAUUCCUUCUAAGGAGUAGUGAUUUAUUGAUGCUUCACAUUUACAAUCUACUUCUUUGUUUUUUGAAAAGCUGAAUAUUCAUUCACGGCAAAGGAUUUACAUGGAAGUCGCAGGCUAACAAGAACAGACCUGCCAACAAACAGCAAGAAAAACCCGCUGUUUAGGUCCAGCACAUACUGGGCAGAGGACCAGCCUAUACAAAAAAAUGACUCAACGCCUGCUUUAAUCAGGCUUCGACAAAAAAAUAAGGCAUCUACUUCUUUCCACAAAAAAACGAUGCAAGCUAAAACAAUUAAACCCCAGAACAGUUAAUCCACAGCAGAUUCUGGGCUCUUUGAACCCCACCCUUAGCCAAUGUGUCUGCAUCUCCAUUGGCCGAACGUAGGAUAUGCCCAAUUUGCCAUUCAUCAAUCCUCGUCAACAUGUUAUGAAUAAAAAUAAUUUCUUUCCGCAAUCUCCAAGGGACUUCUGACGGAUUCCUUACCCAUUUAACCACGUUUGAAGAGUCACAUUCUAUCAUUAAUUUCACGGAGGACCUCCAGGUAGAAGCUGCAAAGAUAAUCGCUGCCUCCUUCACUGCCAACAACUCUUCUAAGUUAGAAUCUAUCAUCCCCAUGGAUUUGGAGAAAAGAGCCAUAACGUCUCCAUUCCAAUCUUUAAGGAUGCUGCCAAUUCCAGCAUGACCUGGGUUACCAUGGGAAGCACCAUCAGUGUUAAAUUUGUAGCUGCCCUCCCCUGGUUUCUGCCAACUCUGUAUUUCCCUUUAGUGACUGACUCUCCUCGGAUUAGUAGCAUUGCAGGGGUCUUUAAUCAGAUCAUCAACACCCAAAUUAACCUCAGGCCAUUUGGCAUGCAUCCACCAAGUAAUGCGCACUUUAGCAAGCUCAAACACUUGGCUGCGGUCCCAACUCUUACCCUUGAACACCAUGUCGCUUCUUGUAAUCCAAAUAGACAAUGUAAUAGCAUAAAAAGCCAUCCUCCAAGCCAACCCAUUUUCAAAACAGCUAGCAGCGUUAUUCCACAUUUGGAACCAAAUUUCAAGUUUAGAGUGACUCACCCAUUCAGUUUUCCAUAAAGCACACCACUUCUGCCAUACCCUCCAAGUUUCACUGCAAUUAAAAAACAGGUGCCCUACAGACUCAAUUUCUGAUCUGCAAAUAAGCAGAUAGCAGCCUCACUCUUGAGAAUACCUCUGCUCACUAAUAACUCCUUAACAGCCAACCUCCCCUGAAGUAACUGCCAGCAGAAAACCUCUACUUUAUGGGGUGCUAACCCAGCCUGUAUCUGCUUUCAAUAACCUGCGUAAUAUCUGUUAGAGCAGAGAACACUCCUACAAAGCCCUGGCCUCAACGAAAUCAAGCUGACCAGCCUUAACUGCAAGACGUAAAGGUGUCCAUGUGGAACACGACAGGGCAACAUCAGUGAGAAUCAAUGGCUUUUUCGCAAGUAAAUCGUUUGGCACCUUAAUAUUUCCUUUCCGAUAGCAGCUUCAAAUAAUCUCUCGUCAUCCAUUUGAGAAUUUGUGAAUAAAAUUGCAGAACCUUAACUUGUGGUGUCAGAAAUUAUUCAAAGCAUUUGUCAGGAAACCUGAGGCUGCUUCUUAGAAAUACUACAACCCGCUUCUUAGAGACCACGAAAGACGAGGAGUAGGUCUACUGUCUGCAAAUAUUAUACAAAUUUUAUGUUACAAUCUCCUUUCCUUUGAGACUCUUUUAAACUAUGGUAAAUUAGGGAUCCAAUUAAUCUUGAGUAUUUGGUAUAGUCAUCAAAGAAAAUUAGAGCUCAUCAAGUCAGAUGACACUUUCUUGCUAAAGCAAGUUUCUUUGGUUCAAAGCACAUUCUGCUCACAUAAUUUUUUGUUGCUAAAACAAAGUCCAUUAUAUUAAUUAAAUGACUGUACGAAAAAUCAUAAUACAAAUAAUUGAAAUUGUACAAAAAAAAGUUGAAACGCUCGUAGGAUUCGGUUCCUUCUGUGCAUAUCAUCCUCUGAAUGUCAGCAUUUAAAAAAAAAUGGAUUUUAUUGAAUCAAAAGCUAGAAUGCCAUGGUAAGUCUAGUACCCAAAACUGGUGGAAGACUACUCUUGGUAUAGGAAACUAGCUUUGGGAAGGGUUUUACCCCUAAAUACAGUUUACAAAAGCAGCUGCGACAUAGCCAUCGGCAGCAAGUUAAAACAAGAGAGCCCACACAAUAGCCAUGGGCAAACAAAGUUCUAAUUACAAGAAACAACCUGACAAAUGACAUCUAGUCAUCCAAAAAAAGUCCUAAAAGUUAACCAGCUCCAGGAUAAGCACAUGAGAAAAUCCGACCUUAACCUUUAAGCAGCACGUAGCGGCAAACCGAAGCUCUACCUCUCCCGAUCCUUAUCCAAAAGCAGAGAGGAACACCCUGGAUCACCAAGAAGGGACUGCGACCAGAAAUUCCCUGUCUUCCAUCAAGAAACACUCCAAGCAAAAAGCCAUUGAUAGUGCCUUCUCUGGUUAGCCUUGAUUUUCUGCUUCCUUUUUUUUCUUUAUAAAUUUCCUGUUUUUCCCUCUUCCCCCACUUAAUUUUCUUCUAUCUCAGCAUAAUCCUUCCAAUCUAGCUCACAUUGAAAGUUUGUGAACCAUCCCAUAUUUUCUUACAAUAUGUCACGGUUCAAUUAAUCAAGGGAUGCAUUAAUCAGUAAUUAUGAAUAAUUAAUUGAUGACAUAAUGAAUGUGAUGAUUCGUUCGUUUUGCUUUCAUGCUAUGUCCAUUCUUUGUCCUUUACAGUUUUUUCUUGUGUAAUACUGAUACCUGGUCCUGCAGAUAAGGCCAGAAACUGAAAAGAAUAGGAAUUCUAGUCUUUGUUGUCAGGUGGUGAAAUUCUACUUGAUCUAAAAAUAUUUAGCCCCACUGACCUUAUCCCUUCUGCUAAGUUCUCUAUAUUGUUCUACAGAAAUUAACUGCUUGCAGCAGCUAUUGAUGCCAGCAUUGGCCUUACUCACCAACAAGUCCACGCAUGACCAGUCAAUUUAUCAAAAUAGGCUGAUUUCUCAGAUCUUCAAGAUCUCUCUUCUUUCUUUGUUUCGUUUUAAAUUAACAGGACAGAUAAAAUUCUUGUAAUAGGGAAGAGCCACGGAAACAAUUAAAUGAAUGGAUAUGCAGUUGAUAAAUAAACCAAAUAAACUUCUUUUUUUUUUAUGAUCGUGACUGAGAGAAGAAAAUGGAAGGAGAUUGGACAAAAUGUGUUCGUCCAAGGUACAUUAAUAGCUGGUAAGAAGGUGGCGAGAAAAGCGUACAAAGGGAUGCUGCAAACUGUCAGUAGGGUGGAAGAACCUGAUGCGGGUGAUCCUAUUUUAUAGAAGGUGCAAAUGAGAGUGAGAAGGUGGGCUGGAUUGAAAAUGAAAAUAGAUGAGAGAAUAUGGGGCCAGGUAAGGAAUUAGGGCUCGAAGAAGGUGAUGCAAGGUCAAGUAAGGGGAAGCCCGUGAGCAAUGAGGAGGAGGGAGAAGGGCUUGGUGAUAGAUGAGCCCGAGGAGGAGAAUGGAGUCGGGCUCAGAAUUGCUCCGUAUGUGAUCGCUGCUAUCAGGACUUUGUAAUCUUUAAUACACACUUUUUAUUUGUUGGAAAUAGGCAAAGCACACAUUUUAUUUAUUUAUUUGGUACAUAACAAAUCACACACUUUAUUUACAAAUUAUACAAACUUAAUGAAACUCCAAAGUACUAGUAUUAAUUUUGGACACAUACCCUAUGUCACAUCCUAUAACAUAUAUAAACAGCAUGAGUUCUAAGUUGUUCAGGCUCCAACUACUAGGAAUUUGCCAGUGUCUGCCUACGUUCAUUGUCUUCCUCCCUCCACCUAAGGUUGUGCUUGCAGGGUCUGAUCUUUCGGGGGCUCUGCUGCCUUGUUUCUAGGCCUGGAAAAUGCCUGGAUCAAACAUGGAGGCUCAGGUUCCCUGUUUUUCAACUUAACCAACAGCUGGAUCAAACACCGCAUAGCUAAAGGCGCUGCUGCUAUAAUCAAGGCGAGUCGAAACGUUUCUUCAUCCGACGUAACAGCAAAGAUCGCAGAUCCAUAAGUUAUUAUCAU